rnacentral:lncRNA from 1 species
GAUAUAUAUCUAUAUACACACAUGCACAUAUGUUUACAUAUAUAUAUAUAUAUAUAUAUAUAUAUAUAUAUAUAUAUAACGCAUAGUUAUAUUGGGCAUACCUCCAAUAUAUAGUUAUAUCUAAUUACAUGUGCAUAUAUAUUUAUAUAUCCUUUCGGGGUCGAUAAAUUAAGUACCAGUUAUGCAAUGAGGUCAAUGUAAUCAACUUAAUCUCUUUGUCUGUCCUUGUUUGUCCCCUCUGUCUUUAGCCCCUUGUGGGUAUUAAAGAAAAUAUAUAUAUAUAUAUAUUUCUCUCCUUGUUUUUUCUGUGUCCCUUUCUGUAGACGAGCGUAGGCUCGAAAUGUAAAGGACUUUUUCUAUUCCUGAGCGUUAUACUAAUACAUCUGUUUGUUUUGUACACCACCUGUCUUCGUCUUUUGUUGUUUUUUUUUCGUAAACUCUCCCUAUUUAUGUAUAUAUAUAUAUAUAUGAGUUUCUCUCGAUUUCCACCAUGAUUGCUCCAAAAGAUGUCUCGUCUAAAGAACACAUCAGCUGGUAGUAGGAGGGUUCAGGAACCACCUUAGUUAUUAGAUCAACCGAGUUCCUUGAACUAUGUCGUGUAACUGGCCGACUAUUCUAUAGACAUGUGUACCCAGAACGUAUUUCCUGGAUGAAAUAAGUGACAAUGCUGGUCGUUUGAAUUAAAGGUCCAAUUCAUCUAAUUAUUUCCGUCAACCCAACUUCAUUCAACGCUUUCGUCGACCUUGUUUUUUUUUCUUAUAGUAGAAAGCCAUAAGUCUAGCUAAAACUGCUUUCGGAUCGAACCCACCACCUCAUGAUUGCUGUGCGAACUUCGUAACCACUCCUGUCCGUGUCUACAUUCCCUGUCCGUAUCUAUAUUCACAUAUUUGUAUUAUAUAAUGUUAUAGUUUAGAACAAACAGUAAAAAGUUGUCGUUAGAGUACUCGGAGUUUCGAAUGUCGGGGCGAAGAGCUACGAUGCAUUCUCGUCGGCUUUUAAUGGCAACAGAUUCUACGAAACUCUGUAUGUGUGUGUGUAAAUUUGACUAUGCAUGUAUAAAUAUACAUAGACGUGUAAUAUAUGAGUAUGCUUCAAUGAUUUGUAUAAAUAUUUACAUAUAUACAGACAGGCACUAUAUAUAUAUAUACACACACACACAGACACUAUAUAUAUAUAUAUAUAUAUAUAUAUACAUACACACAGACACUAUAUAUAUAUAUAUAUAUAUAUACACACACACACACACACACACAGACACUAUAUAUAUAGACACUAUAAUAUAUAUUUAUAUAUAUAAAACAUUGUGUAUAUGUUUUACAUAUUACACUUCUGUGAAUCUUAAACUACUUUUACAGUAUGCAUUUACACACAUAUUCCACACAUGCAGGUAAAAAUUACAGGUGUAGUUUUACUUUAUAUACAUGCAUGCAUGUAGGAACUACAGGUGCUAUUUUGCUCCACAUGCUUGCACACACACACACACACACACAUUCACACUUGCGUAGGUGUGUGAAUGUAUGUUAACUAUAAAAAAUCUGCAAUUUUACCUGCUUGCAUGCACGUCUGCGUGUGUAUAAUUUUAUUGCAUAUGGAUUAUGUAUAAACGCUAUGCAGCUAGCUUACGAUUCGUAGGUGUAUAGAAAUUCUUAUAUGCAUGUAUAAUAUGGGAUAUAUAAAUUCUUAAAAAUGUUUUAGCCCGAAGGCCGCGGCCAUGUAUAUAUAUAUAUACACAAAUAUAUAUGCACUGUAUUUAUGUGUGUAUGUACAUUUAUAUGUACUAUACAUUUGUGUGUUAAAUAUGCAUGUAUGCGAUUUACACAUGUGACAAACAUACUUACACAAACACACAGAUGUAUGUUUAUGAAUAUAUGUUUAUAAAUCAGGUUGCAGUCUCAGAGGCACCAAGUGGCAAUUGUAGCAUAUAAGCUGCACCCUCUACCCUUCCCCACACCAGUAAUCUACAUGAUCUAUUUCUAUAUUACCUUACCUACCUUACAGUCUUCAACUUUUAUGAACGAGUGAACAUUUAAGAUUGAUCUCAAUAGAGGAAAUACUUCCGAGAUCCAAAUUCUCUUUAAAAUUAAACACUUCCUAGCUAUCAUCAGUUCUAACUCCGUGCUCCUGCACCUGCACCUGUUCUUUCUCCAUCAUCAUAAUACUAUUCUCUACUGCUGCCUUUAGCUUUAACGAACAACUUGAUGGCUGUUUAAGGUCGAUCCAAUACUUGAAAUAGUUUCGAGAUCCAACGAAAUUACAAUAAUCAAAUUUAAAUGGCAAUAGCAAAUGGGCAGACUUACUUAAUUUUUAUCAGUUGUUAAUUAAUAGAUUUGCUGUUCUGUUUCUCUAUUUCAGUACAUUAAACUUGUCGAGCAAUAAUUGAGCUUAAUUAUUAUUUUUCUCUUAAAUGAGAUUGGUUGAACAAAUCAGAUUAUUACUAAAAUAUUAUAGACACCACAAUCCUAACUGUUGUAGCAAAUUGGCAGAAUAAUUAGUGUUGGUUGGAGACAGUGUUUUGCUGUAUUUGUUCUGGCUCUUUAUGUUCAGAGUUCAAAUCCUACUGAAAUCCACUUGGCCUUUUAUCUUUAUGAAAUAAAGUAUCUGCUCAGAAUAAAUAGACUGUAAGGUCAUUAGUGUUGGAGAAAAUGCUUUGAGGUGCUGACGUUCGCUUUGCAACCAUGCUGUUUCAAGUUCAGUCCCAUUCAGCAGCUCUUUGGGUUGACCAAUGUCUUCUAAGUGAAUUUGGUGUGUGGAAACUGUGUGGAAGUCAAUCAUGUACGUAUAUAUGUGUUUGUGUGUGUCUUUGUCUUCCCCACUACAUAACAACUCUGAUGGUUUGUUUACAUACCUCUAACUUUGUAGUUUGGCAAAAGAGACCAAUAGAAUAAGUACCAAACUUGCAAAAAGUAUUGGGUUCAGUUGACCAAACUAACCUGACAAGGUAAUGCUCCAGCAUGGCCACAGUCCGGUGAUUGAAACUACUAAAGAGUAAAAAGCAUUCUUUAUAUUCUGAGUGUUAAGGCAGUCUUGGAGAAUUAGUUCUUUUGUCACUGCCAGCAUGAUUUCUGGUCUCAAAUACUUGAAGGGAAGCAAUGGCUGCAGGUGAGAAAGCUAUCUUAUAUUUCCUUACAAAAUUUCCACAGAAAUCACAUAACUGCCAAAGAAGUUUCUAGAGCUCAUUUGUUGAACUAAUUGAACAAAGAUGGAACACUCUCUUCAUUAAAUCAAACAGAUUUUUAAAAAAUCCUUUUGAUUCCAACCUACCUGACACUGCCCCUUGUUCUGCGAUAUGAAGUUCUUGCUUUCAAGUGAUUUGAAUUAAUGCCUUCAGAAUUAAUUUAUAUGCAAACAAUUAGCUUAAUAACAACUGUUAUUUUGCUAAAUUCUUUAUUUUCAAAAUUAACUGGAACGUAAACGGCACUCGUGCCGGUGACACAUAAAAGCACCCAUUACACUCUUGGAGUGGUUGACAUUAAGAGGGGUAUCCAUCUGUAGAAACAAAACUAAAAUCAGACUGGAGUCUGGUACAGCUCUCCAGCUUGCCAAUUCCAGUCAAACCGUCGAACCCAUGCCAGCAUGAAAAACAGAUGUUAAAUGACAAUGAUGAUAAUGAUGAAAGGCAGUGUAUUUUUCCCAACUGUUUUGUACUGUUGGGAACUGGUUUCAUGCAAGUGUUUUUCCACAGAUGGGAGGAUAACACACAAUAAAGUGCAUAACAUAUACUUUUAUUAUUACAUAUAUAAUACAUAUAUAUUACAUAUAUAAUGCAGAGACACCCUGCAGACUACGAUAGUUAAUAGAAAUAAAAUCAAAACAAUUUAUUCUUUCUGUGUGGUUUGGCACCAAAUCAUCCACAGCCCGGUCUACAGUUUCUCUGUUAAACUGAGAUUAUUCAGCAAAACUAUAGCACAAAUCAGUUUAAAUAAAUAUACUCAAAUUUCCAACAUUAGAGCAAGAAAACUAAUUCACAUUAUAUUAGGGUUAUGUAUCUGCAGAGAAUAUUUAUCGUGUGCAUUUUAGUUGCUUAAGUAAUGUUGCUAUAAAUUUAUAAAUGUGCUUAAUGUUGGAGCAUUUAAGCUUUAGGUUUUUAGGUUUAGUUAAGUUUCGAAUGAAACAGGAUUUCUACAAGAAAGGAUCGGCUAAUUCUAAUUAGCUACAUAAUUUACUGCAUCUAAGCUGUAGUGAUAAAGGAUUAGCUUUUAAAUGUCAUGAACAACCAUCAAAUAUAAAUAGUAGUGGAACUUGUGUAUUAAUUAAUUUCCCCUUCAUUCUCACCAUUCUAAGCUGAACAAUGGUUAAGAAGUUUGCUUCUCAACCACAUGGUUUUGGGUUCAGUCCCUAUAACCUCACCAACUAAUCUUGUGUAGAUUUGACGGACAGAAAUAGAAGUCCAUUUCAUAUAUAUAAAUAUGUCUGUGUAUGUAUGUAUGUAUGAAUAUGUGAUUAUAUGUAUAAAUGUAUAUAUGUGUAUGUACACGUGUGUGUAUUUGCACCUCUUUGUCUUCACAUUGUGUAAGAAAUAAGCAUCAAUCAUACAAGGAGUGUCGUUCAUUUUCAAUCUUCCAAGAAAACAUAGCAGGAAAGGCAUCUGGCCAUAGAGAAUCUGUCUCAACAAAGUCUGUCUGGCCCAUGCAAACAUGAAAAUGUGAACUUUGAAUCAUUGACAAUAGUCAUUGCAAUAAGAACUUAAAUCCAUAAAAUUAAUAAUUUCUAUGAAAUUCUUUGGCUUGAAACAAACAUGAUUGGCAAACCUAACACAACACCAAGUUUGUGUAUGUGCCAUGUUCACUGAACAAUAUAAAUAUACAUUGAUCUUUCAAAUAUACAGUUGGAUCCAUAAAGAAAACAGUAAGUGGUAAAAUAGAUAUUAAUUUCGGCUCUUUAUGUAAUAUAUGUACCAUAUAUCAUAUGAUGCAUAAAGACACUAAAUUAAAAGAUUAAGCUAGUGCAGUACUACUUGCACCACACUUGGUUGAUCUUGCCCAGAUGGGUUAUUUUAUAAAUAGAUAUAAGCAUGGCAUAGCUGAGUGGUAAGAAGCUGGGUUCCAAACCACAUGGUUUUGGUUACUGUCCCACUGUAUGGCACCUUGGACAGGUCUUCUACAACCUCAGAUCAACCAAAGCUAUGUGAAUUGUGGAUUUGAUAGAUGGAAACUAAAACUGAAAGCCCUUCAGGUAUACUCUCUCUCUCUCUUACACACACACACACACACCCACAUGUAUGCAUCUAUGUGACUGGUAUAGGUGGCGAGCUGGCAGAAACGUUAGCACGUCGGGCGAAAUGCGUAGUGCGUAGCCAUAUUUCGUCUGCCGCUACGUUCUGAGUUCAAAUUCUGCCGAGGUCGACUUUGCCUUUCAUCCUUUUGGGUCAAUUAAAUAAGUACCAGUUACGCACUGGGGUCGAUAUAAUCGGCUUAAUCCGUUUGUCUGUCCUUGUUUGUCCUCUCUGUGUUUAGCCCCUUGUGGGUAAUAAAGAAAUAGGUAUAAGCAAAUGCCAUUGUAAUGCAAGCAGUGUCUUUCAUUUCCAGUCUUCUAUGAAACAUGUCCAGUUAUGGGGAAUAUUACCUUACAUGGAAACAGGUGAAGGGUUACUGACAUUAAGACCAUUUGGUUGGAGAAAAUCCACAUCAACAAACUGUUCCGUCCCAUAAAAGCAUGGAAAAGUGGACUUUAAAAUGAUUACAAUGAUAACUAUUAUGUAAUCAUCAAUCAUUGUUUUUUUAUGUUUGUUGUUUCCAUGACGGCAUGGGUUGGACAGGAUUUCAAGAGCCAGUAUUUUAUAGUUUACAUACCAUUACUUGUUGAGCUGUCAGAUCUUUUUGUUUACCAGGGACAUAAACAAUAUCAUAACAAGGUGGCGAGCUGGCAGAGACAUUAGCACGCCAGGCGAAAUGCUUAGAGGUAUUUCGUCUGCCGCUACGUUCUGAGUUAAAAUUCCGCCGAGGUCGACUUUGUCUUUCAUCCUUUCGGGGUCGAUUAAAUAAGUACCAGAAACGCACUGGGGUCGAUAUAAUCGACUUAAUCCGCUUGUCUCUCCUUGUUUGUCCUCUCAGUGUUUAGCCCCUUGUGGGUUGUAAAGAAAUAGGUAUUUCGUCUGCCGUUAUGUUCUGAGUUCAGAUUCCACCGAGGUCAACUUUGCUUUUCAUCCUUUUGGGGUCAAUAAAUUAAGUACCAGUUGCAGCGACUUAAUCGACUUAAUCCCUUUGCUUUGUCCCCUCUAUGUUUAGCCCCUUGUGGAGCAAUAAAGAAAUAAUAAAAAUAUCAUAACAAUGGAAACAAUAUCAAUGUGAAGGCAUGUAAAUACACACACACAUAUGCAUGCACAUAUAUAGACAUACACGUGUUUAUACACAUACAUAUCAUCAUCAUAUAUACAUGUAACUUGGGUAUAUACAUGUAUCUUGGAUAUAUAUCUACGUUUAUGUGUGUAUGUAUAUAUAUAUAUAACUUUUUUAUUAAAGCUACAAAAAUAUCACUAAAACUGCUACUCAGAGUUUCACGUUCCCAUUCAUCGGACAGUUGUGAUCAAGAAUUUAACUAUUAUAUUUUACUCCAUUCUUGAUCACAACUGUCCAAAGAAUGGGAACAUGAAACUCUGAGUAGUAGAUUUUGCAAUGUUUUUGCUGCUUUAAUAAAAAUGCAUAUCCCUCUACCUUCAGUAUUCAAAUACAAUUUUUUCUACUUUGUUUUGGAUUUAUGUACUUACUUGUGUGUAUAUGUGUAUAUAUGUAUGUAUAUAUAUGUGUGUAUAUAUAUAUGUGCUUUCACACACCAACUUUCUCACCUAUAUAUAUAUAUAUAUAUAUAUAUAUAUAUAAUAUAUAUAUAUAUAUAUAUAUAUAUAUAUAUAUAUAUAUAUAUAUAUAUAUACAUACAUACGUAUACAUACACAUAUAUGAAGUAGGCUACAUAGGUUGAUGCAGAAGUCCCUGGCUAACAACUGAGGUCAGUUUAAAUGUGUUUCCUGAUGUAUAUCUCAUUUCUUUGCUCUCUCUAUUCUUUUCGACUCAGAUUUACUCCAACUACAUAUAUAUAUGUGUGUGUGUAUAUAUAUAUAUAUAUAUAUAUAUAUAUAUAUAUACAUAUAUAUAAAAGUUGAUAUAUAAAAUAGCAAACAUACACACAUACAUAUGCAAUACAUAUUUUUCUAUAAAUCCACAUGCACAUGUGUGUGUGUGUGUGUGUGUAUGUAUUCACACACACACACACACUUAAACACUUCAUAUUUCCAUUUGUUUGUUUUGUUGUUCUACCUGUUACCGAGUAAGUUACUUUUUUCUCCCUGAGGUAUUUUCAAUGAUGAACUUAUCAAAAACUGGUUAUGUUUUAGCAACAGAUGUAAUCCCUAGGAAGCCUAUAUCAGUGUCAUUGUUUUUCUACAGGAUGGUAUCAUUGUUUUCCCACAUACAUGCAUAUGAAUGUGUGUAUAUUUAUGUGUAAAUAUACAUGUAUAGAUGAAUGUGUACACACACAGACACAUCUGCACCUAUAUAUUAAUGCAUACACACACACACACACAAACAUAUAUAUAUAUAUAUAUAUAUAUAUAUAUAUAUAUAUAUAUAUAUGUAUAUAUAUAUAGGGAGAGCUUACGAAAAAAAAACAAAAGACGAAGACAGGUGGUGUACAAAACAAACAGAUGUAUUAGUAUAAUGCUCAGAAUUAGAUAAAGUCUUUUACGUUUCGAGCCUAUGCUCUUCUACAGAAAGGGACACAGAAAAAAACAAGGAGAGAAAAAAAUGUGUGUAUAUGUGGAAACAGUAUACAUGGUCUUAUAUGCAAAUGAAUAUGAACUUUAACAAAUAACUGUGAGGAUAUAAACAGCAAAGACAAAAUAGAUAUAUUAAACACCACGCAAACUAAAUCUCUGCUGUAUUGAAGUUAUUUGCUGUUUGGAAGGAAAAUAAAUGGAAUCCUUGUGGCAAAUGCAAUCACAGUGAACUGAGAAUCUCUAGUAUUAAGAAUUCUUCAAAAUUGACAUGCAAUUAAGAAAAAGACAGUCUGAUUGUUUGGAGACGAGAGGACAGAGGUGGAUAUAUGUUUCUGCAUCAGAUGUAUACAUCAGAUGUAUACAUAGGCACCUAUUUGCAUAUAUACAAAUAUGUAUAUAUGCUUGCAUAUAUGCAUAUUGGUUAUUGGUAUCACUAUGACUAAGUGAACUUAGUGAAAGUGUGUGUGUGUAUAAGCAUAUAUAUAUAUAUAUAUAUAUAUAUGCACAUAUAUGUGUGUACAUAUACCACACACUUUACACAUAUAUACACACAAAUACACUUGUGUAUGUUAUUCUCAAAUUACUUGUGUGUUAAGUGUUCUGAUCUAUUACUCUUUUGUACUAAUGUGUAUAUAAGGUAUUUUAUCCAACACUGUGUGUGAGUUUGUGCAUGUAUGCAUGCAUAUAUAUAUAUAUAUAUAUAUAUAUAUAUAUAUAUAUAUAUAUAUAUAUAUAUAUAUAUAUAUAAAACCAAAAUGUAGAAAUGUCAGUUAAGGUGCCGAUUCUUAUUGUUUGGCUAGUAAUAAUAUGUAUAGAGGUAUUCUUCCAUCUAUUUUCACAUAAUACAGUAUUGGCUCUACCCUUUUGUCUAGACAUACAUGGUGAUGUAUAAAUGAAAUGGCCAAAAUUAAAAUUCUGCCUCUAAUCUGCAGCCCAAUUUCAUUGUACUUGCCUUCUCCAAAGAGGCAGCAACUCUUUCGACUACAUUUAUCCUUAAAAUCAGAAUAUGAAGUUUCAGAAAUGUACAUGAUUCCAGAAUUUUCAAGCAAACGAUUAAGAACGCAUGAAAAUAUGUAAAAAGACCUUGGUAAAUAUAGAUAGUCAUAUUUUCACUACACCAUAUAUCUGGGAUCUUUUUAAUUUGAACGGCAGUUUUUACUAGCGGUGUCAUAUGAAAUUGUCACCCAUAAUCAUGACCCUAGUAUCGAUCUAUUGCAUUUCAAUCUGUUUUAGGGUUAGGGUUGGUGGGGGAAGGGUAUCUUUUUUUCUUUUUUUUCAAAUAUUUUACAAGCUUUAUAUUCAAACCAGUCUGAUCCUGCUUCUUACACCUACCCUACAAUAUCAUUCUAAAAAUAAACAAUCACUUUACUUGCAGUCUUGAAGCUAUGAGAUAAGGCAUAAUUAAUUCAAAGCAAUGUAGAGAGUAAUCUAAAUGUGUGGUAUAUGUACACGCAUAUAUGUGCAUAUAUAUAUAUAUAUAUAUAUAUAUGUGGAGGCACAAUGGCCCAGUGGUUAGGGCAGCGGACUUGCUGUUGUAGGAUCGCGGUUUUGAUUCCCAGACCGGGCAUUGUGAGUGUUUAUUGAGCGAAAACACCUAAAGCUCCACGAGGCCCCGGCAGGGGGUGGUGUCGAUCCCUACUGUACUCUUUCGCCACAACUUUCUCUCACUCUUUCUUCUGUUGGCCUACUCGCUUAGCCAGCGUGGUGGCAUCAUUUGAAGGCUAAAACAAUGUGAAGCGCAUUGUGACCAGCGAUGUGUAGCAACAUCUUAUAGCCUGGUCGGUCACAGUGACGAUAUAUAUAAAUAUAUAUAUAUAUAUAUAUAUAUAUAUAUUAUAUAUACAUAUGCUUAUACACACAUACACUUUCACUUAGUUUACUGGGUAUUCUUAAACAUUUUAGUGUUUCUAAUUGUCUUCAUGGUUGGUCAGAUGAUAGGUCUUGUUCAUAUUGACUGGGAACAUAUGAUGGCUUUGCUCUAGGGCUAGUGAUAUGGUUACAGCGUUUUUGAAGAAGGCCAGUCAUUUUGACAAAUACCAGCUGAUAGCUCUAGAAUUAAUCAUAACCUACCAUGCAACUAAUGCUAAAUUGGAAUUGCCAUCUACAUGUGCAAUCAUGUGGCAUAAUUGGUCAUGUAGCUGAGUUUUUGUUGGUAACAGCUGUUUCUUUACAUUAGUAAUGUCAGAUUUGUUUCUUAGAAUUAUAGCAUAUGGUAGCAUGUCAAAAUGAGUUUGGAUGUUUUGCUUAUGUCCAAAGUGGAAUAGCAGAUGAUUCAGAGAGUCUCUGAGGCUUAAUUUAAUACCUAUUUCUUUAUUACCCACAAAGGGCUAAACACAGAGGGGACAAACAAAGACAGACAUAGGUAUUAAGUCGAUUACAUCAACCCCAGUGCGUAACUUGUACUUAAUUUAUCAACCCCGAAAGGAUGAAAGGCAAAGUCAACCUCGGCGGAAUUCGAACUCACAACGUAACGCAGACGAAAUACCGCUAAGCAUUUCGCCCGGCGUGCUACAGUUUCUGUAUGCUUCUGUCCAAUCUGUGAUGGCCUAUCGGAUGAUUGUAUGCAAUCCAAAAUAUUUUUUAUUUCCAAAUGUGUUUGAAGAGAACUCUGGAUUUUUGAGAUGACUUUUGGUGCCAACAGAUUUUUGAUGUUUUCUGUUGGCUUUCUACUGCAGGCUGAUGCAUUGCACUCUGUUCCUUGUGGGGAUGAGGUAUUUCAUUUUUGAAGGGGUAGCUUCUUUGUUCCUUCUAUUGUGUAGUUGAUUCUACUUGGAAUUGGUAUUGCCAAAAGUUGUCUGCUCUGUUGUAGCUUUUUAAUGUACAAUAUGUUCCACAUACAGGUGAAAUUCCUCUUUAUUCAUAUUCAACAACUUGUGGGAUCUCUGUUGAAUCUUUUCGGUUUGAACAGCAGCUUUUAACAUAAUUUCUAGGUAACUAAAAAAUUUUAAACUUUGUAUACUGGUAGAAUGUGUUUAUAAAACAUCUUUUUCUCUUGGCUUUGUUGAGAAAAUUCUAUAGUUUGUAAGAUAUUUGUUGUUUUUUUCUUCAAUUUCUGCAAUUUCAAACAAUCACUGAUGUCUAUUGAGGUAAAAAAAAACAUUUUGUGCCGUAUGCAUAUGUCCCUCGUUUAAGAAACAGAUUGGGUUUAUUUACAUUUGUGAAGAAAAACAGAUACCCUUCCCCCCACCCCUAACCCUAAAACAGAUAGAAAUGCAAUAGAUCGAUACUAGGGCCAUAAUUAUGUGUGACAAUUUCAUAUGACACCGCUAGAAAAAACUGCCGUUCAAACAAAAGAACCCCUCUGUUCACUAGGAAAGAAAUAUAGUUACCACCCAGUGAGAGGAGUUUUUUUUUGUAAAAGUUUCCAAUUUUAUAUUUUGCUACAAUCUUUUUUUUAUAUAUUUAUGUUUUGCUGUGAAGAUUUUGUUUGUGUGUUUGUAUGUAUGUAUGUAUGUGUAUAUAUACACACAUAUAUAUGUAUAUAUAGAUACAUAUACACAUAUUUUUACUAUAUUUAUAUAUAGAUAUACACACACACAAAACAUACAUAUAUAUACACGUGUGUGUAUCCAUACACAUUCAUAUAUACUCGCGCACAUUGUGUUUAUGUAUAUAUCAUGAACGUAUUUUAGAACUAGAGUGAUCCCUCGACUAUCGCGACGUUACGAUACAGGUGAACCGCGAUGUGGCGAGGGAUUAUACUGUAAUGCGGUUGUUUAUGUUUGCUAAAUAGAAAAAUAACCUUAUUAUUAAGAAAAUAUACAUGUCGUUGCUAUAAAGAACGUAUAAAUACAAUAGCAUUUACCAGCAUGAAUAUUAAAGGUGACUGUCAAAUAGACGGUUAUGAUAUACUUUUGCAUCUGGAAAAUUGAUGUGCUCUGGAAUGAAUAGCUAGAAAGUAGGUAGCUAAAUGGAUCACAGUCGGUAUCUACGAUGAGGUUUAUUGUUUUGCUGUCAACUGAUCUUUUCACUUACUGAAAUUAUAUUAAGUGGCUGAGAUUCAUGGUAGUAUUGGCAAUGGUUCUCCGUCGUUCAACAACGAGGAUUCAGUUAUUCAGUUACCUACCUGAAUUACCUGUUCCCGAAUUAACGUGAAAAUGGCCGAGUAUCCUUAAUGCGAUUCUGAAGUAAAAGAAUCCGUGUAAAACAGUAUGUGAGAAGACUGUACAUUUCUGAAUUGCAGUUUACUUGAUGGGCUUCUAUACAGUUUCCAUCUGUUCAAUUUCUCUCCUGAGGCUACUGAAAAUAAAAUUUGGAUCUUUUCCUUUUGAUGGACGGAAUUUUCUAGUUAACUAAAUACAAAUUAUUUAGUUAACUAGACAAUUCCGUCCAUCAAAAGGAAAAUAUCCUAAAAUUUGUCCAUGAUGCUAUGCAGUGGGAUUGAACCUGGGCACCUCGUAAUUAUUUAGCGAACUUCCUUAAUAUUCAGCCAUGCUGCGCGUACUGUUAAACUUGAACAUACCUUAUGAUAAGAUUCUUUGAAAUACUAGUACAAUAUGUUCGGCAGGCUGGGGUAGGAAACGCUGAAGGAGCUGAGCGGUGGAAUUGAACUUGGAAACAUGUAGUUGCAAAGCUUAUAGAAACAUUAAUAUUUACUCAGUGUGUGUAUGUAUAUGCGCGUGUGCACAAUGUCUUGUAGUGUCCCCUCUAUGUCGCCCCUAGUGGGUAAUAAAGAAAUAGCACAUCCAUGUGCAUACAUAUAGUCCUACUUUGUUAUGUUAAGGAUCCUAAUUUGGAGUUUUGAAACCACUUUGGUGUAGUGCUUAGUACGAUUUUAUUAUGGUUUAUUGAAGAUAGGCAGUUCGAUUCUCGUAGUCGAUGUUAAUUCUUAUCUGUCUAUCUGUCUGUCACUGUGCGUACAACAUGUGAUAGUAUCCCGUGUGAUACAAAUUAAAAUAUAGAUACUUGUCUUUGGGAUCAAAGGGAUCUUUUCGGUUUGAACAGCAGUUUUUUCUAGCGGUGUCAUAUGAAAUUGUCACCCAUAAUUAUGACCCUAGUAUCGAUCUAUUGCAUUUCAAUCUCUUUUAUGGUUAGGGGUGGGGGGAAGGGUAUCUUUUUCUCUUCACAAAUGUAAAUAAACUCAAUCUGUUUCUAAAACGAGGGACAUAUUCAUACGGUACAGAAGGUUUUUUUACCUCAAUAGACGGUCAUUGAUUGGUUGUAAUUACAGAAAUUGAAGAAGAAAAACAACAAAUAUCUUACAAACCAUAGAAUUUUCUCAAUAAAGCCAAGAGAAAAAGAUGUAUUAUAAACACAUUCUACCAGUAUACGAAGUUUAAAAUUUUUUAGUUACCUAGAAAUUAUGUUAAAAACUGCCGUUCAAACCGAAAAGAUCCUUGUCUUUGUGUAUUUCUAAUCUUUCAUCCAAGCAAUCAAAUAUCAGGUGUACGAGUGAAGCAUGACGUUUGUUAAUGUUAAGCCGUAACCACGUCUAAAUUCAAAUGUUUUCGGCACGCGACCCACUUUUAUCGAACGUACCAGUUUCUUUUACCAUAAAAUCGGACGUGAUUCGCGGGAGAUUUGGCUGCUAUUUCCAGCAGAUUGAGUAGCACUGACGAAGAGCGUGUCUAACGAAAUUACAUGCACGCGUAUGUGCGUACGAACACACAUCCAUGCGUACGUGCACACGCACAUAUAGAUAGAUAGAUAGAUAGUCUAAUCAGACAUUCCGUCUUUGGCUUAUUCAUCUGAUAGAGGUGAAGUUGUGAUUAUGAUGCCCUUUUCCGAGGAAAUUAGCAAUUAUGAGAUUAAUUAGGUUUAAACUUUCUCCUCGGUCAGUACCAAUUACCAUUCCAUAAACGUGCCAGAUUACUUACUAGCCGAGAGGCCACGCAUAUACACACAUUUUCACACACACGUGUACAAUUAUACGCUCGUCUUUUCUCAUCUUUCACACAUUCUCUGAUAACAGACACAAAAACCCGAAAAUAUAUAUAUAUAUAUCUUUAAACACAUACACACACAUUUUUUUACAGACAUACCCGUGAACACCCAAAUACAGACACUAUCUUUACACAUAUACCACAUAUACAUACACACAUACGCUCACACCAAACUACAUAGAUUUUAGUUUUGGAAUACAAUGCAUAUUCAUCACAAACACGAACACCCCUUUCGUGUAUAGAGACGUAUAGUAUACACACCCCUUUAUACGGAAACUAGGUCUAGUGGUGGUGGGUUGCGGGGUUUUCGUUGCUAAUAUUAUUUCAAGCUUAAUGUCAGACACUCCUCACGGCUGCUCUUUUUUUUCCUCCUAGUCGUCGAUAAAUUCGUCUGUCAGUUGUCCCUUUCUGCAAACAAACCGCCAACAUAGCCACAGCUAGUUUAUUACAUUGCCCCAGAGAUUGGAUGGACAACGGCCAUUCUGGGGCACUGCUUUCUAGUUUUUUUUUCUUUUUCUUAGUUCAUCAUAUUGCUCUUACUAACUAAAUAGUGAGACGUGAUAUAACCAAACCGGCAGAUAGGAACAAAUCCAUUUAUCUGUUUCUUCCGCCUUCUUUCUCUCUCUCUCUUUUCUAUUUUGUAGUUUCAGCUCAGAGCUGUGACCAUGCUUGGGCACCGACUAUCUAUCUAUCUAUCUAUCUAUCUAUCUAUCUAUCUGUCUGUCUGUCUGCCCGCCCGUCCGUCCGUCCGUCCGUCUGUCCGUCCGCCCGUCCACAUUAAUCACAUAUCUUUAUAUCUAUAAUAGCUAUGUGUAUACUUGUAUCCGUAUAUCUAUGAUUGUAUCCAUAUAUUUAUAUCUAUUUACCUAUAUAUAUGUAUCUAAUCUCUCUAUAUAUGUCAUCGCUGUAUCUAUAGAUAAUCUAUGUUGUUUUCUCUUAUCAUCUAAGCUAGCGUAUAUUUAUAGCUAUUUAUUAUCCCUCCACAACACAUACAUACACACACACACAAAACUGUCAUUUAUAUCAUAAUUUCUAUCUGCCUAGACUUGCUCAGCGGAACCGAACGAAACCGAACCUGUAACCACGUGGCCGACUUAUAUAUCUAUUUAUUUAAGCAUCCUCCGUUCACGUAACUUUUCGGUUUCACCCCGCAAUUUUUUUCUCUAUGUCUGACUCACUUUUUCCUUGUUUGUGUUCUGUUGCUUUUUUUAAUUUUCUAUUUUAUAUCUUUUCUUCAUUGCUUUCUCUUUCUUUCUGUCGUUCUUUCUCUCUUUCGUUUAACCAUUCUCUUCAGUUUCUCUCCCUUUUUCUUGUCUUUCAAUCAUUCUUCAUUCUUUCAUCAGGCAUCCCCCUAACCGGCCUCUAUGUAUAUAUAUUUCCUGCUACUGUUCAUUUUGCGGUUUUAUUUCAUCCUAUUUCGAUCUUUCGUUACCAGUCUCUCUUUUACUUACUAUCCGUCUAUUUUUUUUUCUUUCACUCUUUCUUGAUCGCGAUGAGGGAGCAUCCUGUGAUAAUUCGACCUGGUUGAAAUAGCAUUUUGUUAAUCUUUAAAUUACACUCUCCUAUUUCAAAAUAAAAGGGGGACACUUAGAGAUUUCAAUCCACUCGCUAAAAAACAAAAAAUGAAAUUUUCUUUGAUCUAUGAACAACAGUAGACCGUCUGUUCAAUUAGACCUUACCUGGGGCUAAACAGCCCCUAUUUCUUUCCAUUACGUCUUUUUAUUUGAUUUUGUUUUUGCCACCUGUCUCCGUCACACUUAAUCUGUCUCGCCUAUUCUUUCUCAGCCAUCUCUUUGACAAUCACUUCCAAUGUGGAGAGGAAAGACUGUCGCAGAAAUGGUAGAGAAGGAAUAUAUACACACAUACAUACAUAAUAUAUGUACGUAUGUACGUACAUAUGUAUGUAUGUAUGUACGUAUGUACGUACAUAUGUAUGUAUGUAUGUAUGUAUGCAUCUAUCUAUCUAUCUGUCUGUCUGUCUAUAUAUCUAUCUAUAUAUCUAUCUGUCUGUCUGUCUAUAUAUCUAUCUAUAUAUCUAUCUGUCUGUCUGUCUGUCUGUCUGUCUGUCUGUCUGUCUAUCUAUCUAUAUAUCUAUCUGUCUGUCUAUCUAUAUAUAUAUAUCUAUUUAUAUGUAUAUCUAUCUAGCUGUCUGUCUAUCUAUCUAUUUAUCUAUCUAUUUGCAAGCUGGCAGAAACGUUAGCGCGCCGGACGGAAUGCUUCGCGGUAUUUUCGUCUGUCGUUACGUUCUGAGUUCAAAUUCCGCCGAGGUCGACUUUGCCUUUCAUCCUUUCGGAGUCGAUAAAUAAAAGUACCAGUUUCGCACUGGGGUCGAGUCCUUGUUUGUCCUCUCUAUGUUUAGCCCCUUGUGGGCAAUAAAGAAAUCUAUCUAUCUAUCUAUCUAUCUAUCUAUCUAUCUAUCUGUCUAUCUAUCUGUCUGUCUGUCUGUCUGUCUGUCUGUCUGUCUGUCUGUCUGUCUGUCUAUCUACACACACAUACACACUAAUACAUACACACACACACGAUCUGUUUCUACAUCUUAAAUUUUUUUCCUUCCAUGCCUUCUCAACAUCCUUCAUUCAGUCUUUCCCAAUAUUAUUUUGUCUCGUUACUUUCUGUACAUUCACCCACCUCUCUCUGUUUAGACUUUUCAUCUUUUGAUUUAUAUCGUUUCAUGUAUUUUCCUUUCUUUUUCUUUUUUUUUUCUCUCUCUCGUUACUUUUGUCUGACACUAUAAUGUCAUAUUUCUCUCUGUCCCCCCCUCUCUCUUUUUCUCCCUUCUCCAGAUCUAGAAAUUCCUUCUCUAUCGUUUAUUUUUCCCGCUUUCUACCACUCCGUCUUCAUCUCUUUUUACUUUCAUUAUCGCUUCUCUGUAGCACUCUCUUCCCCCUCUAUCACUUUCUCUUAACUUUCUUUCGUAACCCAUGUAUCACUCUCUUCUCUCAGAUAUUACUCUCUUUCCUUCUCUAUCACUCUUACUCCAUCUAUAUUACUCCUCCCUUCUAUCACUGUUCAAUUCUAACAUUUUCUCCCUACUUUCACUUUCACCCAGUUUAACAAUUUCCCCCCAUCUAUUCCCCCCUCUCUAUCACUCUUUCCUCUCUUUAUCACCCUUCUCUUCACUAUUUUAAAUCGGUAAUCAGUAUUUCUCUACCUUCCUUUCCUUCUCUAUCGCCCUUUCCCCACCAUCUAACACUGUUCUCUCCCUCUCUAUCGCCCUUUCCCCCCAUCUAACACUGUUCUCUCCCUCUCUAUCGCCCUUUUCCCCCCAUCUAACACUGUUCUCUCCCUCUCUAUCGCCCUUUUCCCCCCAUCUAACACUGUUCUCUCUCUCUCUAUCGCCCUUUCCCCCCCCAUCUAACACUGUUCUCUCCCUCUCUAUCGCCCUUUUCCCCCAUCUAACACUGUUCUCUCCCUCUCUAUCGCCCUUUCCCCCCCCAUCUAACACUGUUCUCUCCCUCUCUAUCGCCCUUUUCCCCCAUCUAACACUGUUCUCUCCUUCUCUAUCGCCCUUUCCCCCCCCUUAACACUGUUCUCUCUCUCUCUAUCGCCCUUUUACCCCCAUCUAACACUGUUCUCUCCCUCUCUAUCGCCCUUUCUCCCCCAUCUAACACUGUUCUCUCCCUCUCUGUCACUCAUUUCUCCAUUUCUAUCACUCGCCUUCCUCCCUUCCUCAAUCAUUUUUUUCCCCAUCUCGUAACUCUUUCUCCCACACACGUUUCUUUAUUCAAGCUUUGUUGUCUGGACCUUUCUUCUCUUUCCGUUCAUUCUUCCUGCCUCUGUUAUUUUUCUAUUAUUUAUGUGCAUCUUUUUCUCUGAUUCUCUAAUCUGCCUAUUUGUUCCUAUUCUUUCAUUGUAUUUAUCUCGUUCGCUCAUUCAUUCACUUAUUUAUGUAAGUAGUUUUAUUGUCAGCCAAUCUUUCUUGUUUGUCUUUCCUUCGUCCGUCAUUCAACAUGUCCGACUUUAAAUAUUCUCUUCGCUCCAUAUCCUAUCUCAUACCAAAUACAAGUUCUGAUUAAUAUUUCAUGUCUUCGUCCUCUUCUCUGCACCAUAUCUCAAUAAUUCACCUAUCUGUCUACUGAAAUGAAUACCUUUUUUCUGAACAACAACAACAAUAAGAGAGAGAGAGAGAGAAUUUCAUCGCCUUGCUACCAAUGUGUCUCUGACUGACCUGUCUAUCUUUCUAUCUCAGUUUGUCUAUUGGUCUGCUUGACCUGUCUACUCCUAUCUGUCUUCACCUACCCGUCUACCUGUCGUUCUAUAUUUCUGUCUGUAUUAGUAUCUUUGUACUCAACUCUAUGUGUAUCACCAACCCUUGUCGUCGUCAUCAACAUAGUCAUCAUUGCUGCUUUACGUCCACUUUUCCGAGUUAGCAUAGAUUGGAUGGGUUUUUCUUAGGAUUUGGUUGGUGGCUGGAUACCCUUCCUGCCAGAAACCCUUUUAGUCGCCUCUUAUGACUCGCAAGAAUGCAGUGUAUCUGUUCUAGAGCUGGAAUACACAUCACCACACACACACACACACACACACACACACACACACACACACACACACAUACACACACACACACAUACACCUUGAGUGAUUGACAAGUACAUCUCACAAUCAGUCCCAUUACUUGGUCUUUUAAAUAAGUCUUGAUAUGAUUACUGCCACCUAAAUGAAAUUAGUACAAGCAGUGCGGAGGCCUGCCCGUGCAUGUGUGUACCUAUGUGUGUAUAUAUGUGUGUGUGUGUGUGUGUGUACUUGAAUAAAUGUGUUUUCUCCAUAUCUUCCCAUUGAAACUAUGAAAAGCACUGCUUUGUUUAUGCUCCAUAAGCUAGCAGUUCGUCAAAUGGAGUUCUGUAAGUUAAGCCCGUGACUGAAAAAGAUCUAUGGUUGACAUAAUUUGACUAAAGCCAAUCCAAGGCAGUGCUCCAGCAUGGGCAUGUUUCACUUCUUCCAUCUUCACAUUUUGUCCCCCCCUCUUCUUGCUCUCUCUCUCUUUUCACAGGCACGCACGUGUAUAUGGGAUACAUGUAAACUGUAUGUUUCAUUAUUCAUCCAAUGACCUUUUAACACAUGCUUACAUGUUCUUUACUGUUGUGGUUUGACCUGUGAUUGAAGAUAUUCCAACCAUGACCUUACUGUCUGUAGAGAAUGUCUAAUCUAUGACUACAUCAUAUAAAAGAGACUUGACUAUUAAUCCUAGCUGGACGAGUAAUCCUGUAGAAGGUCAUUGUAGAAGAGUUGCAUGUAUGUGUGUGUGUGUGCGCGCGCGUACACCCUUCAUCCACUCACCCACACUUCCACAUAUUUACUGUCUGUCUGUCUGUCUCUCUGGUUUCUAGUUAUGAUGUUUCAUCCCUGUGUUUUGUUAUGUCACUUUGCCCUUACCAAACCCAGCUCUUAUUGGCUAUUUAAACAGAUAUAUUAGCUAAUACAGUCAGACAGUGCAGUUGAUACAGCGGCAAGGGAAGGCAGGAGGGAAAGAAAUUAAUGAGUCAGAUCAGAAUUUCAAUCAGUUUACCUUCCCAUUGUUAAUGCAGGGCCUGACAGAUGCGGAUGAUAUAUACUUGUACGAUUAUUCAAGUGCGUAUGCACACGGAACACAGGCAUGGCUGAAUGUUUAAAAAGUUUAGUUGCAAUCAUGAGAUCUUGGAUCUGGUACCUUAGAAUGGCAACUGGGGCAAAUAACUUCUAUCACACAGCCUUGGCUUGACACAAGCUUUGCAGACAAGGGGUUAAAAUACAGCUGCACAAACGUGUGUGCACGUAUACACACAUGUACAUGUAUACACUCACAUACACAUACGGAUACACACGCAUGACUGAAGUGAUAGCAUCAAAAGACUGAAGAAAACCAUCAUCAUUAAACAUCUGUUUUUCCAUGAAAAUAUAAAAAAAACACCUUAGCAAAACAUUACAUUUUGACAUUAUGCACAAACGUGUGCACACACACGUGCAUGCACACACGCAUCCAUUUUCGUGCUCAAAAUGUACUCAAGUGGUAUUUAUUGAUUCACAGCUGAUGAAUUACUCCUCCUGUUAUUCUGGUUUUCCACAUCUCGCUGCCAACUGUAUUUACCUGCAUACUCAAGUUGACAUGGUAUAUAAUGUAAACACAUUGUAUAAACAUUCAAACAUUGUCUCUAUCUUUCCAAAUCUUGCUGUAUUUCACUUGGAAUUUUUGAUCCUCCAAAGUCAUCUUAGAGUAUAAGUUGACCUACCACUUUCAGCUGUAAACUUGGUCUGUAAAAUUGGACUUUAUGCCAGAAAAAACAGUAGGUUCAGAUUAUGUCCAUAGGAGUUACCGGUUCAUAACAACAUGGUCAGGUAAUCUGGAAUAAGGAGCUUAAAAGCAUGAAGUCUGAGUGUUAGGUUUUAUCUGCAGCAGUGAUUCCUUUCAAAAGAUAUUUUGUGAACCUAAGGGCUCAUUUGGGGACUGAAUGGGAGCUUGGGAUCAAAUCCAGUUAUAAAAGAAAAUAAAAGAAAAAAUAUAUAUAGAAACUACAAAGAAAGAUAGCUACACAAAAGCAGGAGGAUGGCAAUACCAAAAUAACUGGAGUGGUGGUGAUUGGGGGUUGUUACAUAAAGUUGUGUUACUAGUGAAGGUGGUGGUACUUGGAUCUGCUGGCAAAGAAAUAUCCAAAUAUUUUUUGGUGUGGCUUCCUAACCACACGGUCUUGGAUUCAACUCCACUGUACUUCACCUUCUACUAUAACCCCAAGUUGACUAAAUCCUUGUCAGGAGAUUUGGUAGAAGGAAACUGAAAGAAUUCUGCCAUACAUACAUAUAUAUCUGUGUGUGUGUCUCACCACUACUUAACAACUGGUAUUGGUUUGUCUACAUCUCUAUAAUUUAGGGUUUUGCAAAAGAGACCAAUAGAAUUAGUACCAGACUUAAAAAUAUGUAUUGGGGUUGAUGUGUUCAACUAAAUCAUUCAAAGUAGUACCCCAGCCUGGCCACUGUCCAGUGACUCGAAUAAGUAAAAAAAUUAAGGAUAUAUGUAUAUAUAUCUGUGUGUAUGCAGUGUUCCUAUCUGUAUCCAUCUGCGUUCAGUAUUCUUACCUACACUGUACUGUUGUUCUUAGUUAUUCUUACUUGUUCCCCCCUACUUUAGUGUUAACACAACCUAGUUUGCAUUUGUAAAUAUGUACCAUGUAUUGUCAUGCAUACAGCUAGUCUUUGAACAGUGAAUAUUUAAACAAGUUCAUCAUAACAGCCACGUUUAACUCUACUUGCAUGGUGUGCAAACAUCAUCCCUGCAGUUUAUGGAUUGUUUUGUGAUAAUAGCAGCCACUGCGUUCCAAAAUUCCAUCAUGCAAAACACACACACAUACCCUCUCUCUGCCUUUCUCUUUAGAAAAGAUUUUUUUCCUAAAGAAUCUGGAAGACGUGCUUGGCUUAUAAAAUAAUAAAGCAGAAGCAGUAUCAUUCAUGUUGUCAAUCACAUUUCACUCAUUUUCCAAAAAAAAAAAAAAGAAAGAAGAAAUAAAAAACAGAAUAAGAGAAACAAAUUAUACAUAUAUCAAAGUUCUGCAAUUCCUCACUAUGACCACCUCCACAGUAACAAAAAAAAGAACAAAAAUACCUUGUAACACAAAUGACUACUAAACCAUUCUGUUGAUGAUGAAUGGCAGUAGUGAUGAUAAUGAUGAUGAUUUGUAAAGUUGGCAUAAAUCUUGGAAUUAAUUAGACAAGAAAAUAGGAGGCUGUAACAGUCAUGCCCCUUUACCAAAGGUUUUAUUCACAAAAUUGAACGUCAUGUGAUUAUUUGUACUUUCAAGCUUUUUGUUCAGGGAAAAGGAGACUGCUCCUGGGUAAGGUAUUUUUCGGUGUUGUUAUUAUUAUUAUUAUUAUUAUUAUUAUUAUUAUUCAAGUUGCUGCCUGGAAAUGAACUCGGGAUCUUGAGGUUAGUAGCCCACGCUCUUAACCACUACGCCAUAUGCCUGUAGUCGUUAAGAACGCUGGCUACUAACCCCGAGAUUCCGAGUUCAAUUCCAAGCAGUGACCUGAAUAAUAAUGAUAAUAAUAAUAAUAAUAAUAAUAUUAGGAAACAAGACGAGGACAAAUAUCUGUCAAAUGUAAAUAAAGUAAAUAAUGUGCAUAAUUCCUCAUCUCUUAACUACAGAAAUGAAGAGAGAUAUUCUUAAACCAGAGAUCUGGCCUGAAUGCUUGCAAGAGAGUGGACUCUGCUAAAGACAUCCAAGUGCUAAGAUGGUGGUGUUAAACUGGGUGACAGACUGUGUCUUCAUCCUAUAAUAAUAUUUGAACUUAGAAUACAAAGAGCAGGAACGAAUACCAUAAAGAACUAAGACCAAUGUUCUUUUACAGUUCCACCAGUCUGCAGACCUGCAUUGUUACUUACAAUUCCAGGUCAACAUUAUUCAAACAGACCUAUGAUGAAAAGUGUUCAUUUUUUUUUUUAAUGCCGGCAUCAAUUGAACUGACACCUGAGGCAUUAUUUUACAGCUUGAACCUUUCCUGUAAAAUAAACCUUACCCCCUUUUUUUUUCACGUAAGGGAUCUUUUAAUUAUAUUUGAUUUGUCUUUAAAAAUAGAUGUCUUGCAAACAACUUGCACAUGCAAAUGCUACCAGUCAAAAACUCCGUAUACUGGAAGCCAGCGAGUGUAUGGGGUCAUCGGGAGAGAAUGCACGCUGUUUCGGGGCCUACCUCUCGACGGCAUCAAUGCGCACCCCCCCACCCCCCACACACACACCUCACUGAUAUGGGGACCCGCUUGCUAGAUCAGCUGGUUAUCAAAUAAAGCUCAAUAUCCUUCUAGCCAUCGCUCAUCGUCUUUUUUUAACCAAAUCCAGUGGCUAGCCUUCUCCACUGUAGACUAGAUAUCGGUCAUGGUGGUAUUGGCUUUUAAAAGUACAGGAUGACAUUUUUUUAAAUGCCUUGUACUGCAGGAAUCAGAUUUAUCCACUCAAAAUAUCAUUAGCCAUAACUGUGGAAAACUGUUUUAUAUACUUGUUUAUCUUUUGUUGAGGAAUAUCAUGUUUAAAACUAUUUUUUGUUGAUAUAUGUUAACUGAAGCAACAUGUCUUGCAUAAAAUUCUAAUUUUACAUUUUGCCAGGUAUUUAACAUCAUUACGGGAAAUAAACAUGAAAUUUAAUUUCACAGUUAGAGGGUUUGCAAGACAUGUCAAUGUAACAUCAGCAUUUUGUUGAAAUGGUUUCAUGUGAAGACCCACAAUGUAAAUAUUCACACACACACACACACAUGUGGACAGACUACCAAUUCUACUGACAAGGCAUUGGACUGAGGUUAUAAAUAGAAGAAACUUGCUUAAGGUGCUAUGUAGUGAGAUAGAACUUGAAAUCUCAUCAUUACAAAGUGAACUCCAUAGCCAUAAGCCAUCUUACAGAUUUUAUUUGCUCAACUGAAAUGAACAGACUCUUUUCUCCAUAUCCUUAUAGAGCUUCAUACAUCUCCAAUUCUAUAUAUUUCAUCAUCAUCAUCAUCCUCAUUGUUUAACGUCUGUUUUCCAUGCUAGCAUGGGUUGGACGGUUCGACCAGGAUCUGGGAAGCCAGAAGGCUGCACCAGGCUCCAGUCUGAUCUGGCAGUGUUUCUACAGCUGGAUGCCCUUCCUAACGCCAACCACUCCAUGAGUGUAGUGGGUGCUUUUUACAUGCCACCGGCACAGGUGCCAGGCGAGGUUGAUCGGUUGGUGCUUUUUACGUGCUACCAGCACGGAAGCCAGCAUGUUUGGAUGGUACUUUUUACAUGCCAAACCCAUACUCUGUCGGUACCACAGAAAGAAUCAGACCAUCAACUUGCCUUCUUUAAGCAGCCAUAAAUGAAAAAUGUUUCACCUUGCUUCAUGAGGAAUCUCUACCUUUUAUUAAUUUUGGUUGGUCCUCAGUUUUCUGUUGUUUAUCUUUUUGCCAAUAAUAUCAAUGAGUGGUUUUGUCAUGUAAUAGGAUACAGAUGGUUCUAAACCAUAUCAUCAAAUCACAACAUCUGGUGUUCACCAGGCAAUGUAAAUGAGUUUUGCACGGUAGAAUGUUGUUUGCGUUUUAAAUAAAUAGCUUUUACUACAUUAGUUGGGCCACUUGAAAGGAAAGGUUAAAGUAAAUAGGCGCAGGAGUGGCUGUGUGGUAAGUAGCUUGUUUACCAACCACAUGGUUCCGGGUUCAGUCCCACUGCGUGGCACCUUGAGCAAGUGUCUUCUACUAUAGCCUCGGGCCGACCAAAGCCUUGUGAGUGGAUUUGGUAGACGGAAACUGAAAGAAGCCCGUCGUAUAUAUGUAUAUAUAUAUAUAUGUGUGUGUGUAUAUGUUUGUGUGUCUAUGUUUGUCCCACUAGCAUUGCUUGACAACCAAUGCUGGUGUGUUUAUGUCCCCGUUAAUUAGCGGUUCGGCAAAAGAGACCGAUAGAAUAAGUACUGGGCUUACAAAAGAAUAAGUCCCGGGGUCGAGUUGCUCGAUUAAAGGCGGUGCUCCAGCAUGGCCGCAGUCAAAUGACUGAAACAAGUAAAAGAGUAAAUCUUGAUGGCAUUUAAACCAGUCAAUUCAGUCUUCUUUCAAAAAAAAAAGAAAUGGGGCCUAAUUUUAAUGUGAGACUAAGUAUAUUCAGAUAUCAGAGAAUCCCUGUUUAUUCAUGGUAUCAUACUGUGUUGUCUGGCAUACAAGUCCCCAUAAUAUGUAGCAUAAACAUGUAGUGUAAACAUUCAUACAGCAUCAUUAUUGUUCCAAAUCUUGCUGCAUUUCACAUGGAAUUUUUGGUCGUUUAAAGGUAUCUUAUGUAUAAGUCAGUAUAACCGUCUUGGCUGUAAAUUUUGGUUAGAAAAAUUUGAUUUGUACACUGAAAAGUAUAGCCCUCGGUUUACUAAGAACUCACUCAGUACCACCAAAUGUGACUUCAUUCAAAAACAACGAAAAUUAUGAGUAGGUCACAUUGAAAAAAAAAAUGAAAGAAAUACAAACAAAAAUACCUUCCCUUGCUCCUAAAUAUAAAAAAAAAAAACAAAAUAAAAAUACAUAGGCACAUGUCAAACAUGCACAGUUACAUAUACACAUAGAUUAUCUGUAUUACAUGCAUUACUACAUAUUUGCAGUGAAUUAGAUGUAUAAAACAAACAAAACCCAAAGAGAGUGCUCACAUUUCUCCAUAGCUAUUUAUACACACACACACAUAUAUAUAUGUGUAUAUAUGAUGAUGAUGAUAUAUAUAUAUAUAUACGCAUCUGUUCCAUGGGGAUAGUAGAUAAGUGCAUUACGUUUAGUAACAUCUGUUAUUAGCGUGGCUGGGUAUUCCUCAUUAUUAUUACUAUUAUUUUUAUUAUUAUUAUUAUUAUUGUUUCAUUAGUCUUAUUUUUGUUGAGUGCAUUUCACUCACUACACAAGUGAGUGCAGGUCUGUGUGUCUAGGGUACAUGCAGUGUUUAUUUUUCAUUUACUGUAUUGAUUAUUAUUAUUAUCAUUAUUAUUAUUAUUAUUAUUGAAUGAAGUAAACAUUUCUGUUGCUAGGUAGUUCUCCUAUAAUAUCUCUCUUUCAAAUUAUUGUCUCUGUGGCAUUAACACAAUAUAAUUAGGGUGAUACUAAUAUAUAUAUAUAUAUAUAUAUAUAUAUAUAGUCCUUAUGAUUUAAUGUCCUUGUUCCAUGCCAGCAUUAGAUUGGACAAAUGCUUAUGUAUUUGUGUGUGUAUCUAUCUAACUAUCUAUAUCUUAUAUAUAUAUGUGUGUGUGUGUGUGUGUAUAUAUAUAUAUAUGUAUAUAUGUAUAUAUAUAUAUACAUAUAUGCAUCAGGAUGAAUAGCAAGAGAAGAGGUAUGUGAUUACUUUCAUUAAGUGACAGCUGUUUAUGCAAUAAAGGACUGUGUACCUAGAGUUGAGUAUGAGCACAACAUCUUAUUGCUUCCUCAAAUCCUUUUGAAGUAUUUGUAUACUGCAACGUAUAUUGAGUUCUAAGAAACGGUUAUUGGACUCGGGGUAUAAAAGUUUAUGUCUGUGUGUGCGUGUGUAUAUAUAUAUAUAUAUAUAUAUAUAUAUAUAUAUAUACAUAUACACAUAUGCAUAUAUAUAUAUAUAUAAAUAUACAUAUACACAUAUGCAUAUGUGUAUAUAUAUGCUGGAGAAAUAUUUUCUUUGACAAGAGAUGAGAUAGAAGAGAGUGAUAGAUAGGAUACACCCGGGCCUCUAGAACAGCCAUGAAUGAAUUAUAAAGAUGAUCACGUGAGGGAAAGAAAGAUGCAUGAUGGUCAUGCAUGAGUAACCUAUAUCCUCUGGACUCAGUGAUAUGGUUCUGGGUUCAGUCACACUGUGUGGCACCUUGAGCAAGUGUCUUCUACUGUAACAUGAGGCCAACCAAUGCCUUGUGAAUGGAUUUGGUAGAUGGAAACUGAAAAGAAGCCCACUGUAUGUAUAUAUACGUGUGUGUGUGUGUGUGUGAGUGUGUUCGUGUCUGUGCUUGUCCCUGGUAUCACUACUUGACCACUGGUGUUUGUGUGUUUAUGUCCCUGUAACCUAUCAGUUCUGCAAAAGAGACCAGAUAGAAUGAGUACUAGGCUCAAAAAAUAAGUCCUGGGGCUGGCUUAUUUGAUUUAAACCCCUUCAAGUUGGUGUUUCACUAUGGCCGCAGUCAAAUGACUGAAACCCGGAAAAGAAUAUGAAUCUGUGUGGUCAAGAGGUUAGCUUCAUAUCCAUGUGGUAGACAUUUGGUCAAACUGCACGAAUAGUGUGGAUGGUGUCCUUUGCCAAUGCUUUUGGUUGACCAAUAUACACUACAAGUAAAAUUUGGUUGAGAGAAACUGGAAGGAGGCCAUUGCAUAUAAAUAAAUAUGUGCACCAUUCAUAAAAAAUGUGUUUGUCUGCAGAUCUCCACGGAAGUAUAUCAGAACUGUUCAUUGUUUGAGAAACCUUGUGGGCUGGUACCAAGAACGACUUCCAGUUACGAAAAAUCCUGUUUCACUGAAGCCUUCUCUAGCAUAUGUAUUCUGAAAUACACACACACACACAUUCGACAGGGUGAUGGAUUGAUGAAGUUAUAAAAAUGUUAAUGAAAUAUUUUGUGAUAUUUAUUUAUUGCAUAAGGUGGUGACCUUGGUAGAAUUAUCAACAUGUUGGGCAAAAUGCUUUGUGACAUUUCAUCUGUCAUUACUGUCUGAGUUCAAAUUCAGCCAAGUUCAACUUUCUUUCAUCUUUUGUGUGUUGACAAAAUGAGUACCAGUCAAGUACUGGGGUGGAUGUGAUCAACCAACCCCCUCCCCCAACAUUUCAGGCCUUGUGCAUAUAGUAGAAUGGAUAUUUAUUUAUUGCUCUUUAUAUUUACUAAAAUCCUCCCAGGGUCAACUUUGCUGUUCAUCUUCCUGGUGGUGAUAAAAUAAACACCAUUUAAAUACUGAAGGUAGUGUGAUUGACUCGUCUCUCCCUCCAAAUUUGUAGGCCCCUUUCUGUAGCUGAUCUGCUUUGGGAUCACCAUCCCAUUUCUUCCUUGUACUUCCUCUUGCUCAGGUUCCUUCCAUUGGACUACUUGUCACUUCUUCACUCAGCUACCACAUACAUCAUGUCUACCCCAAAUAGUCUUCUUUCUUGCAUGCUGCAUCCGAUUACUCUUAUACCCAGCUUUCCUCUCAGCUCCUCUGCCAUUUAUUUGCACUCACACUAAGCAUCCACUGGGGCAUGUUUGCUUUAUUUCUUUUUAUUGUGUGCACAUAUUACCCAUUCUGUGUCCAUGUUUUUCUACUAUACAGCAUUAUGCUUUGUACUCAAGUAUCAUACAAUUUGUCCUUCACUUGGAAAGCGAAUCCUUUUCAUGCCAGCUGAGGUAAUAACUCUUUGAACUUUCUCCUCCCUGUUCUUGCUCUGGCUGCUAUGCAUUCAAAGCAUUCACCUCCACCGUUGUUUAGGUCACCUAGCUAAUGGAAGUUAUAUAAUAACCUCUAUCAUAUGUCUCUCUCUCUCUCUUUCUGUCUGUCUCUCUCUCUCACCCAUCUAUCCACAUUUAUCCUUCUUUCACUGAAUCAGUCAGGUCAACCUGUCGCCAAUCAGCUACAAGCCAUGAAUCGUUCUGUUCAUCACUAUAAUCGUCAACCAUUCUUCACCAGCAGUUAUCAAUCCAAUCCAUCUAUGCAUUAUCACAAGCCAGUUACAGUCAGCCAUACAAAAUGCUAUAAUCCCUGACAUGCUUGCAUCCUUAUGCGCUCGCACUUAAUACACAUGCGCAUACACAGGAUCCUAUAUGCACAAAUUUAUACACUUCUCUUAUUUCUUUCUGUCAUCAUAAUCCAGUUUUGAUUUCUUCUUUGAAGAAUCAAUCUCCCACACUACUGUGAACUGUCGUGUGCAUGUGAUGGGGAAAGGGAUGAGAUGAAGUGGAGGUCUUUUGCUAUCUGUCUUCAACUGCUUUCUCAUAUGACUGUCUGUCUGUCUAUCUCUCCCUCUUCUUCUCACUAUAGCUUGCCAAAUGUAUGUCUGCCCUCCUGCCUCCUUCUCUAUCAUUUUCUCUUGUUCUUAGCUUUACUCUGUUCACCUAUUUUAUCUAUCCCUGUUCCACCACUUCUCCCACUUCCGGCUAUUCUUGAACUUUCAAAUAACAUCAACCACCUCUUUUUCUUCCUUCCCUCCUCAUCACAUUCAUUCAUUCUUUCAUUCAUUCAUUCAUUCAGUCGCUUAUCUAUCAGGAGAUUUUAACACAGAACAAUGAAGCUGUUGUAUAUACAGCGAAACAUAAAUAACUCUAUGUGUUUGUGUGUAUUUAUGGGAGCCAUUUGUGAGAAAUUCCCUUACUUCAUUAUUGUCUCUGUAAAGGAAAAAAGGAUUCAUUCCACUAUAGUCUGAGUAGCAAUUAUUGAUACUAGAUAUUAUAAUAGUUGGUACUACAGCUAGUUGUGUAAUCACUGCUAGAAAUAGCUACUAAAUCUUCCUUGAAUCUAACACCCUAUUUGUAUUGAGAAACUAAGCUCACACUGCAUUACAUAGUUGUAAGAUCUCUUUAAGAAGGGUCAUGUUUAGAACAAUUUUCAUUAUUGAUCAGCUUUUCCAGAGCUGAUCUACAGCUAAACAUUAACUGAUAUAAUUGUUUUUAUGCCUACUUUUCCUUGCUUGUAUGACUUCUUGUGUGGGGAAACAGAUUAGCAAUGCAGUUAAGUGUUUACUGGUUCUUAAUAAAUAUUAACUUUGCCCUGUGAUUUGAGUACUUUUCCUUUCAUUUGUGAACAAAAUAUAUAAUUUUGUCUUAAUGUUUUUUACGUAAGCCUUCUACACCCGAUGGAACAUAGCCCAUUGACCACUAUUUUCUCCACGCUUUGAUAGUUUGAAUUGUUACUGAAGCUACUGUAACUCCCUUUUUCUUCUAAGUAGGAAAAUUGGCUCUACGCACAUACACACUUGUCCAUGUUCAUGUGUACACAUCUCUAAGGAAAGGUAGUCCACAUUCACCUAUCAUCUAUCCUUUGACUUGACCGGUAUGGGAGGCACUAUCAGGAGCUUGUGCACCACUGGCAUAGCUCUCAGGGUCAUAGAGGAACACAAACUACUCCACUGCAACAAGGAAUGGACUAUGUAGUGGAUAUAUUUCAUAAGACAAUGGAUCCCCACCCAGCACAAUUUGCUAAAUGACUCAAGAAAAAUUAUCUUGAACUUUUUUAAUAAUGUGGCUUGCUUGAUUAUGGGUCAUGUCUCAUGUGACCUGCUUCUCAAAAAAGGUUACUCAUGCUUAUCUCAAAUGUUCCUUACCAAUGUGCAGAACUUAGUAAGAUUUUGUUCUUGGAUGAAAAAGCAAUUACCUAUAUACGGAAGUCUCUUUUUUCCAUGUCACAGACAUUGUCCGAGGUCAAGGUCAAGGGUCAGUAAAGUUUCAUACCAAUGUUGUCAUAGUCCUUGCUAUCAGAAUGCAAUGUGUCAGGACACAUACUUCAAGGUGAUACCAUCUGCUGAUCUAGCAAUUUUACCAGUUUGUAACAACUCUGGACGAGUGUGUGUAUUUUUAUCAAUCCUGAAAUGUGGAAGUAUGAAGUUGACCUUGGUAGAAUUUGAACUCAGGGCAUAGAGAGCCCAAAAAAUACUGGAAGGCAUUCUGUCAAACAUUUGAACAACUCUGCCAGUUUACUACCCUAAAACACAUACAUACUCACCCACACAUACAAUGUAAGUAAUGUGUGUGUGUGUGUGUGUAAUGUAAAUAUGCUAUGCACAUGUAUGAGUAUGUAUGUUAAUGUAAAUAUGCAGGUGGGUAUAUGCAUGUAUGCCUGAAUAUAUGUCCAUCCAUCCAUCCAUCUUUCUGUCUAUGUGUAUAUAUGUAUAUACAUACAUAUAAACAUAUGUGUGUGUAUGUGUGUGUGUGUGUGUGUGUGUGUGUGUGUAUAUAUAUAUAUAUAUAUAUAUAUAUACACACACACACACAUACAUAUAUAGGAGGUAAAUAUUCAUGUAUGUAUGUGUAUGUAAAUAUUUAAGUGAUACACACACAUAUAGUGUAUGAAUGUAUACACAUAUAUAUGCCUACACGUGCACUCUCACACACACCAACACAUACAUAUUUUUGUAUAUUUUUGUUUAUGUAUGGGUACAUACGCAUAUAUAUGCAUACACGCUCUCUGUCUGUCCGCCUGUCUAUCUCUUUGUAUUAAUUGUGACCAAUGUAGCUGACCCCACCGAGCUCUGCUUGCAGACACAGUGAUAGCGAGCGUCUGGUUUGGAAGGUGCAAGGUGACCAUAAAUUACCAUAAGGUCACGGAGGUCAAAUGAUUGCCAGUAAAUCUACCAUUUACUAGUUUACAUUUGGAGAUCCUGGCUGCUUCCAGACUGGACAGAAGACUGUAAAUAUGGAUGACAUAUGAGAAUUGUUCAUCUGCAGAAACAAUAGGAGAGAGUGGUGUAGGGGAGAGAUAUCAGCGAAUUAUUAACAAAAGAAAGGGCGGGGAAGCAGUAAAAGUUAUUGAUCUCUUUUACAUUAAGCAAGUUAGACCUCCUUCACUGCAAACUAAUUUCUUGUAUUUAGUAUGCUGAGCAACCAGUCCCCCAACCCCUGUGGUAUUUCUUCCUACGUCUGUAUUGUUAAUAUUCAUAAUCAGUGACACUAUAUUCUCUCUAUGUGUGUGCAUCAAUACACACACACACCCAUACACACACAUGUGUAUAUAUAUAUAUAUAUAUAUAUAUAUAUAUAUAUAUACACACACAUAUAUACGUAUAAAUAUGUAUAAAUAUAUAUAUACACACACAUAUAUGUAUAAAUAUAUAUAUAUUUAUAUAUGUACAUAUAUAUAUAUAUAUAUAUAUAUAUAUAUAUGUAUAUAUAUAUGUAUAUACAUAUGCUGUUGUGUCUGGGGAGAGUCAUUUUCUUUUUUUGCCUUAUAAUCUAACACAAUCACCGGUAAAAUUUCCACUUUUUUUCCUAUUUUUAUUUUCCUAAAAUUUUCGUUGUGUCUUGCAACCUUUUCAAUAGUUUUGAGAGUCAAAACUAAAACUAUUGGAAAGGGUGAUAAGAUAAGUACUUGUCUAAUGCUGGGGUUCAUGUAUUCGGCUUAUCCCCUUCCACUGACAUUGCUGGCUAUAUGCCAAAAUUUGAAACCAGUAUAUUAUGCAAGCUUAAAACAUACAUGUACACACACGCGUCGACUUGCUUUCGUAUUAUGUAAUAGUUAUGGGUGGCCUUUGUUUCAAAUCUUUUGUGAAAAGAUGCCCUUUCAUAGGGGAAAUAUUAUGUUGCUUGGAAACAGUUGAGGGUUUACCUCUAACUUAACUAUUGUUUUUCCUGUUUAUGGUGUCUGAGUAAUUAAGCUCAGUGUUUUAUAAACUCAGUGUAUGCAAAUGAAAUGACAUUAAAUUAAAAUAACCAUCUGUGUAUUAUAAUUAGCAUAUACCCACCAGUGAAAGGAAUGAUGGAAACACUACUGGGACACUGAUUUUUCAGAUUUUUGUAUGCUAGGCUACUGGUUUUAAAUUGAUGUUAAUCAAAUUAAUAUUCAAUUUAUCUCCCUCAUUAUUUAUAUAUAUAUAUAUAUAUAUAUAUGUAUAUGUAUAUAUAAAUAUAUAUAUAUAAUAUAUAUAUGGAUGUGUGUAUAUAUAUGUAUAUAUAUAUGUAUAUAUAUAUGUGUAUAUAUAUGUAUGUAUAUAUAUAUGUGUAUAUGUAUGUAUAUAUAUAUUUGUAUAUAUAUAUGUGUAUAUAUAUAUGUAUGUAUAUGUAUAUAUAUACGUGUAUAUAUAUGUAUGUUUAUAUAUAUGUGUGUAUAUAUGUAUGUAUGUAUAUAUAUAUAUAUAUGUGUAUAUAUAUAUAUAUAUAUAUAUAUAUAUAUAUAUAUAUGUAUAUAUAUAUAUAUGGAUAUAUAUAUAUAUAUAUGUGUAUUUUUCAUUCAGCAUAUCUAUGAAGAAAUUUUCUCUCAGACAAAAUACACAGGAUUAUGCUGCUUUUCAAUAGUGUAUAUACAUUAAGUAUGAUACGCAGAUGGCUAUUUCAAUGUUUUAUGUUUUUUUAAGAAUAUCAUUGUUUUAUCAAUGGCUUGAUUGAAUCUCUGCACAUGAUGCACUUUUUAUGUGUAGUUGUUUUUAUUCAUAACAAACUCAGUAUAAAUCCAUUCAUUGUCAUCAUCAUCAUCAUCGUCAUCAUUGAUAUGUAUUUACUUCUAAAUGGCAUGGGUUAGACAAAACUUAGGCAGAUUUUCUACAGCUGGGUGUUGUUUAUUGUUGCCAGUCUCCAAUUAUUUCUAAGCAAAGUACUGUUCAUUCCACUGGUCAUCACACAUGAUCAUCAUCAUUUAACAUCUGUAUUUCAUGCUGGCAUGGUGUGGAUGGGUUGACAGGAUCUGAUGGGUUAAGGACUGCAUCAUGCUCCAAUGAUUGCUUUGGCAGGGUUCCUACAGCUAGGUGUUCUUCCUGAUGCCAACCACUUUAAAUUGUGUACUGGUUCUUUUUCCAUGCUACUAGUAUUGUUGAUGUUGCCAUGCAGCUUGCAAGACUAGGAGCCCUGAAGGCAGUGAGGGUCAGCUUUUUGUGACAAGGAGAUGAGAGUUUAAAGUAUGAAAAAAGUAGUAGGUAAGCAGAGCAGGUUCUUGUAGUGAGGCUGUAUGGUUACUCAUAUUUAGUAAGGGAACGAGAGACUGAUUACUAGAUGUGAAGAUAUAGCUGUUUGAGAUAAGGUAUAUAGGUGGCUCCUCAGCGCCUGAAGUGGAUGGAAAUUUGCAAGAUUGUAUGAGGAGCAGGAGAGAAGGGGAAGAGAAGGUAGCCUGCAAUUAUAAAUGUAUUAAAAAACUCACCUCAAUACAGGGCCUUGAUAGUUUCAUAAAUGAUAAUCUUAUUGGCAUUGUUUGAUUUUUUUCAUAGAGUUUGCAAUUAUGUACCUAAUGUUUUUGCUAUGUUUGGUUCUAUCUAUAUGUUCACCUUCUUUGUUCCAUUCUCUGUUAUAAUUUCUAUAUUAUCAAUGAUAAUUAGUCACGUAUCUUUGUAAUUUAUCAACUUACCAUUCCAUUUUUCCUGUUAUUUAUUGAUGAACCACUAUAAAUCUAUACUUCUCUUCCUACCUGCUUACUUAUUCAUGUAUCCUAUCUUUAUAUUCCUACCUAUCUAGCCAAAUAUGUCCAGUUGUCUGCUCUUCUGUCAGUCUGUUUGUCUAUUUGAUAUUUACUUACUGAUGUCUAUAUGUCUACUUGUUUCUUUUACCCCCCGUAUACCUACAUAGAUCUUGGAAUCUACAGCUCCAUUUGCUAAUCUCUGUUUUCAUCUGUGAUCCACUGAAUGAGAAACCACAUAACUUCACACACAAGGUACAAGUAGUCUCAGGCUGUAUAUGCACGUUUGUGUAUUUCACUAUCCCGGUAGUGUAUCCUAUUCAAUUAUCUUCACAAACAUUGAAAAGAUGAAUAGCAAUGGAACAAAAUCUUCACUUAACAGGUGGAUACGAACUCACGACAUUCUGCCAUUCAAGUCACACCUGUCUACAUUGGCGCCGCCAAACUUUUUCCCCAUUCAUUCUCUACAUCAAAAUCUGAAUGUAUGCAGUAAUGUAGCGUACACAUGCAUCCACUCACUCCCCAACCCAUCAGCAGAGGCAUGUCUUCAUGCAGCAUGCAUAUACAGACAUAACCGAAGACACUGCAGAUGGCUAACAGUCUAGGAAUAAUAGCCGACUACUUAAAGCAUAUAUGCAUGCAUGCUCUGACAAAUGCCUUGAAUGUUGUAUAUGAAAGUAUAUAAUUUCACCUGCAUGCGUGUCCAUUGUAGGCAGAGCCAUACUGACAUAUAGGCACCUACAUACAUUAGGCAGGCAAACAUUACGUAUUAACGUAUGCAAUAGAUUUUUCAGCUCUCGCGUGGUCAUAUGUGUAUGUGGUUGAUGUGGAUAUGCGAUUUUGCCUGCAUAUCUCUCCCUCUUCUUGGUUACACACACAUACGCGCAUAAAUAUAUGUACUCACUUAUCAGAUGUAAACCAAGAUACAAUGUGUUUGUAUGCAUGUAUUUAUAUAUGUGUGUGUCUGUGUAUAUAUAUAUAUAUAAUAUAUAUAUAUAUAUGUAAUAUAUAUAUAUAUGUAUAUACACACACAUGCACUUUCAUAUUUACAUAUAUAAACACACAAAAUCAAACACGCCAAUAAACAAUAUUCAUACAAAAGAGUGUGUGUGUGUUGGAGUAUGUAGAUAUGAAGCUUCUUGCAGAACUGAACAAUGCCAACACUUCAAAGAUGAGUACUAACUCCAGAACUUUCCUCACGCUCUCAUACACACAUACAAACAUAAGCACGCAUGUAUGUUUGUAUGAAUUUCUCUCUCUCUCUCUCUCACACACACACACACACACACAGAAAUAUAUAAAUAGUUAUAUGAAUACAUGGACCAAUGCUCACAGUCACAUGCAUGCUUCUACAGAUAUAUAUAUAUAUAUAUAUAUAUAUAAUGAGGGUUCUUUUAGUUCUUUUGAACAAUGCCAGUUCACAUCAAAGCCAGGUACCAAAUGUUGAAAUGAUGUUUUAUUACAUACAAUAACCAGUAUAUAAAUAAAUAAACAUGAAAACAUUUGUCUUGGAGUUACAGAUUUCAAUAUAAUAUGUUGGUAAGAGAAAGCAAGGUUUAAUUGCUUCCUGUUGCAUUCAGACUUAAACUAGCUAAUUCCAUUUUUUUUCUCUUCUUCCUAUCUUCUCUAUUUUCUUUUACUGUCAUUCUUUACAUCUUUACCUCUCUAUCUUUCUAUCUAUCUUUUCUCUCCUGUGUACAUACAGUUAUGGAAAUUUCUGUGUGUGAGUGCAUGAAUAUGUAUUUAUAUGUAUAUAGUUAUGUGUGUUCUGUGAGUGUGUGUGUGUGUGUAUGCCAGAAUGGAAAAUGAAUGUUAAAUGAUGAUGAUAUACAUCUGUAUGUAGGUAUACAUAUUUUGCAGCUAUACACUCACACACAAGAGUAGUUUGUGUCCAACAGAAUGCUCUGCAGUAUUUUUUUCCAUCACUCUACAUCGUGAGUUCAAAUCCUGCUAAGGUUAACCUCAAAAAUGCAUGAAUAAAAAAAAUGUAUCAAUACAUGCUAGUGGAUAGAUGAAACUAUGUCAGACUGGACACCAUGUGGUUCUUAGCAUUCUGAGUUCAAAUCUUGCCAUGGUCUGCUUGAGUUGUAGAUUUAACCUGUUGCCACCUGAAAUCUUGAGUGCAUUUAGCAGCCCACUCUUUUGCAAGCUGCAAGCAUAUGGGCUUGGUUUCUGGUUUGAAGAUAUCCUCCUACCUUCCUGCACCAUUAAUCAAUUGGGUUUGAUAAAUAUUUGUUUCUUUGACCUAUUCUUGAGUAUAGUUGGGAUGUUAAUUCUAAAACUGGCAUCAGUUAUGAUCUUUCAGCUCUACUAAAUUAAAGAUCUGUUAUUUUGAUAUGUACAUAAUAUUAAUGCUUUUAGUACAUUGCAUGCUAUUAAGACAACUAUGCAUUAAUAAAUCAGUUUAUUUUGGCACAAAAGCUUAAAGGUAUUGAACAAAGACAGUCUGUUUUGGCUACUUAUGCAGUAAAUUCCCUGAAUUAAAAUCAGAAGAAGAAAGCAGUGAUUUUUAAUGGUCCCUAGAUAAGAGAGCUUAUAAAAAAAUAUUUAUCUCAUAAAUUCAGUGGACAGGCAGUGUCUUAUGAAUGAAUGGUUUUAGUUUGUUCUAGUCAUCAAAAACUUACUUAAGCAGAGGACAUACUAUCCAAUUUUAAUAAGCUUUGCUGUAACAUGAAUAUCAAGGUCCAUUAUCUCUUUGGUUACUUAAAUCACUUUCCAUAAAAGCUUUAUGAUUUAAACAAAGAGCAAGAUGAAAGAUUUUAUCUGAGUAUGAAAGCACUGGAAGAGCAGUACCAGUGAACAUUCAGCAAGGCAGUCCUGAUAAAUUUCUUUCUAGAAAGUCCUAUAAAAAAUUUUAAAAAAAUUCUGCAGCAUUUACUGACUGGUCGUUUUAUAUGUUUUGUGCUUUUUUUUUCUUUUUUGGUGGGGUUGAUUUCCUUGUAAAAGAUAUUUGGCUACUAUUUCUAGCUGGUCACGACUGUAGAGGCUUCCUCAUUGGCUCCUGUCUGGCCAACUCUUGCAAUGUUUUGUUGCAUUAGAACAUCUAAACUAAUUCUGUCAAUAGAUCAGCUGAGGCAGAUUAAAGUAAACCUGAACAGUGGCUUCAUCACCAAUGGUUGUAGUAGUAGUAGUAGUAGUAGUAAUAAGAUUAGACCUAAACAUAUAACAACUGAAGGAAGAAGUUAUGCAAUGUUGAGAUUUACAGCAAAGCUAUCAUUACAUUCAAAAUCUGUCCACAGUUUCUACCAGCAUCGUUAGAAAAUACAAUGAAUAUAAAAUUCAUUGUAUGGUAAUGAAAUGGUAAUGAUGGUAAUGAUUUCUCCUCUCCUCUUGCAACCUACAAACUAGAUUUAUAGGAUCACCGUACUUCUCUGUCAUCAAUGGCUCAACAGUUUUCUUUUUAUCAAUCACUACAUUUUUCUAAAAAUGUAUUUAAUGUAUGACAUUAAAUGGAAAGCCAACUGUGGCAUACCACACUUACUCAUGCACACAGCAAAAAGAACCUCUAACGAAAAAACAACCACACACGCCAUUCCCCCUUGUCCAUAAACACUGGACAAGCAAAAUAACAUUGUGUUGUCUUCUAAGUAUAAUUAUGGUGAUGUUUCUUUGGUAGGCUGUUGUUUAUAUUUUGUCAUGUGAUACAGUGUAUCAUCUGCUCAGUGUGUAGUCACAUCCUCCAUCUGUUUAUUCUCAAAUUCCUACACCUUAUUUCUCUUUCCCUAAUACCUAUGUGUGUCUGUCUGUCUGUUUGUUUGUUUAUCUGUCUGUCUGUCUGUCUCUAUCUAUCUAUCUAUCUAUCUAUCUAUCUAUCUAUCUAUCUAUCUAUCUAUCUAUAUAAUUAUCUAUCUAUCUCUGUCUAUCUGUCUAUCUCUAUCUAUCUAUCUAAUUAUCUAUCUAUUUAUCUCUUUCUGUCUAUCUGUCUAUCUCUAUCUAUCUAUCUAUCGCUAUCUAUCUAUCUUUCUUUCUUUCUUUCUUAUCACAUAAACAUAUAUACAUAGCAUGCACACAUGAAUACACACACACACACACACACACAUAUAUAUAUAUAUAUAUAUAUAUAUAUAUAUAUACACUAGCAUUACCUUUAUUCUGUCUGUGUUUCCCUCUCUUUCUCUCUCGUCAAUAGUGUUUGUCUUUUCUCUAAUUCACUUUCUCUCUGUAUAUCCUGGUUGCUUCAUCUGUACUUUCUUGUCCUUUCAUAACUGUUCUGUUGUUAAUUAUAUUAUUUAUUCCUCAUUCUCACUCUCUCUGAAAUGCUUACUUUUUUUUUUUCUUAUAAACACUCACCCACAUACACACACAUGUUCACCAUAUGUAUCCAAUUUUAUAAAAUAUGGUAGAUAUUACUGUCACUCUUUAGCAUAUUGAAUUUAUAACGUCAACCAGAUAGGUACAGUUUUGUUUUGAAAGUAUGUGAUAAUUUUCAAAUUCAUGCACACAUGAUGCAUAUGUUACAUACGAUGUACACCUACACUACUAUCUCCAUAACUCAGGUGAGACUCUUGUCUAAUAUUGAUCCCACAUCUGGAACUGUGCUACUACUCAGCUGAUUAGCAUAAAGUCUCCAACAAACACACUUGCUGUCUCCUCUCUAUUUCUUUUUUCUACCUCUAUCGUCCCUGUUUUAUGAAUCUAGCUGUUCUCAUGUUGCCUCAGGUCCCUUAUCUUCCUCACUUCUGCUUCUCCUGUUGCUCAUGUUGUAUAUUCCUUCCCUGUACCUGAUUUUUCUACAGUCACCAACCUUCAACAGUUCAGGAAGAAUGUUAAUGGCACCAAUCUCUCAUGUAUUGGCGAGAUCUGUGGCCCCUACCAAAGAAAGAACAUUGACUUUCUAGAAGCUUUGGUCACAAAGCCUUUCCAGAUUGUUGAUUUUGUUCUGAACCAGGGUUGGUCACUUAGGGCAACACACUCUAAAUUAAGCAAAUAUUAAAUUUACCUUAAUAAUCAAAUGAAAUACAAGUACCUGUUCAUUAGUAUAAUUAAUACAAAAAUAUUGUGUUACGGGCAAAGUAUUAUUCUGUGAUAGUUUCCAUUAAACUAAUCUGACAGCUGCCGGUAUUUUAAAUUCUUGCUCAUAAAUUAGUACAGAUUAUAAAAGGUUCUGGAUGAUCAGUAACCAGAAAGUCAGUGUUAUAAUUGUGUGUGUUUGCAUAUGUGUGUGUGUGUGUGUGUACUCUAAAGUACAUGUACUUUAGAGUAUAUAUAGUUUACUUAUAAUGCCCCCAUCCCACAUAAUGCAUUCAUACACACGCAUCAAUAAAAACAUGCAAAGCAAAUAUAGUUAGACAAUGGACAGUUUUUUUUUUCUAUGAAAUCUUCCUAUGAACACAUAUACGUAAAUAUCCCACUCCCACACACAGCCAACACACAAAGAGGAUCAAUGAAUACAUAGAUGUGUGUUUCUGUUUUUGAGUACAAACACAGAGCACAUGCUGUGUAUAAUUUUAAGUCAUUCCACGAAAAUAAAAAAAUAAAUAUAAAAUGUGCCUAUAUUGAUUUGAUCUACAAAAUAAAUCUACAAAAAUUGAUUGAUUAAUGAACACAUAGGCACCUACACACACAUACAAACAGGUAUCUACAUGUGCACACACAUACACCUACAAAUAAAUACACAAAUUAUUUACAGACAUCAUGCAAAGAUGUAUAUGUUUACAGAACAAACAAACUAUAUUCUUAUAAAUACAAAUCCUUAUACAUGCAUGCCUGCACAUUUACUUCCCAACCACAUGGUUCUGGGUUCAAUCCCAGAGCCUUUUUUUUAUAACUCUGAUCCAACUAAAAAUUUGUGUGUAGAUUUGGAAGAAAGAAUCUGAAAGAACCCUGUUGCAUGCACACACAUACAUACACAUGCACACAUAUACAGUGUGCACACAUAUGUGUGCAAACAUGUGUGUAUGGCACAUACAAACAUAUAUGUACAACAUAUGUAAACACACACACAUACAUGCACACGCAUGUAUCUAUACAUAUAUAAACACGUGUAAAUGUUAGUAUCUCCUUUUCUUCACAUUUUCUGAUAGUUUUAAACAAGUCUUAGCAUCAUAUAUGUGUUGUCAUUAAUUUCUAAUCUUCUGUGAAACCAUCUCCUGUCAUGGGGAAAUAUUAAAUUACUUGUAAACAGAUAAAGGCUUGAUAACAAAAAAGGCAUCCAGCUGUAGAAAUUCUUCCUGAAAGAAUUCUGCCUGGGUUAUGCGAACAUAGAAAAAGAUAUGUUACAACAAUGAUGAUGUAUCUAUAUGCGUGCAUACCACCAAAGGCAUAAUUAUGUAGUUAGUGACAUAACUAGAUGGUUGGCAUAUAUUUAUAACAAACUGUUUAGCACGUAGUGCAUUAUGAUCAAUACAGUUUACAUAUGUAAAAUUAAUGCUUAACAUGAAUGCUACUGAACAUUACUGGGGGGAGUGAUACUGUGGCAAGUUUCUGAAAUCAUUGUGAACUCCAUUUGAUAAAGGGAAUUUCCUAGAGUGCCUGCUGAAUCUUAUAUAUAAGUGUGAUAUGUUUAAUGGAUAAAAUCACAAAGACGAAACAUAGAUUAUUUAUAUAGCCCAGCAGAUCUCAACCAUGGUCACAUGUAACUUUCAAGCAUCUUUCCAGCAGCCCUUGAUGGUCUUCCCUCUAUAAAUAUAAAAACUUUUAUGGAUCUUUUCGGUUUGAAUGGAAGUUUUUAACAUAAUUUCUAGGUAACUAAAAAAUUUUAAACUUCAUAUGCUGGUAGAAUGUGUUUAUAAAACAUCUUUUUCUCUUGGCUUUAUUGAGAAAAUUCUAUAGUUUGUAAGAUAUUUGUUGUUUUUUUCUUCAAUUUCUGCAAUUUCAACCAAUCACUGACGUCUAUUGAAGGUGAAAACAUUCUGUGCCGUAUGAAUAUGUCCCUCGUUUAAGAAACAGAUUGGGUUUAUUUACAUUUGUGAAGAAAAAAAGAUACCCUUCCCCCCACCCCUAACCCUAACCCUAAAAUAGAUUGAAAUGCAAUAGAUCGAUACUAGGGUCAUAAUUAUGGGUGACAAUUUCAUAUGACAGCGCUAGAAAAAACUGCCGUUCAAACUGAAAAAAUCCAAUUUUUCUUCAACUGACUUGUCUUUUACUUUUUGGUGUGAACACCCUAAAAAAACUUCUGGGUUUUGGAUCUGGUCCAAAUAUUAGAAAGGCUGAGAACCACUGACAUAAGCACUUCAUGUCUUUAUAGUUAAGAAGUUUGCUUCACAACCAUGUAAUUUUGGAGUCACUCUCAAUGCUUAGCACCUUGGGCCAACCAAAGGCUUGUGAAUAGAUUUAGUCGAUGGAAACUGAUUGAAGCCUAUUAAGUGUGUAUACAUAUAUAUAUAUCUGUGUGCUUAGUACGUUAGUGAGUUCAUAUUUCUCUUUGUCUUAUUGUGUGUUUGCUUGUAUACAAUGGCCUAAAGGUUCAUGCGGACCGAGCUGUUUGGUUGUUGUCCAUUCUGAAUGCAUGCCCAAACUUCUUGAUGGGUUACACAAUCUUUAUAAACAAGAGGUUAAUUUAUAUGGUGCCGUUAGUCUCUAGUGCUCUGUGUAACCAUGUUUGGGUUAGUCAUUGUUUAGUAGACUGAGGGAUUGCUACCUCACAUGGAAAUGGGUAGGUUUGGCAUCAGGAAUGGCAUCUGGCUAUAGAAAACUCUGCCCCAGCAUACUCUUGUCUAAUCUUUUCAUGUAUGGAAAAGUAGACAUUAGGCCAAUGAUGAUGCUGAUGAUACAUCGAUAUUUAAAUAUCGAUAUUAUCAAGUGGCCAGCAUGGAAAAAAAUACCAUACAAAGGUAAGAAUUUUUUACAACUAAAAAUAAGGGUGUCUGAGAGACACCACGAUGCUGAAAUAGCAGUCAAAUCCCUGACUCUUUAAGGUGGUCUUUAGAGUCAGGGAUUUGACUGCUAUUUUGGGAUGGUGGUGUCUCUCAGGCACCCUUAUUUUUAGUUACACACACAUAUAUAUAUAAUAUAUAUAUAUAUAUAUAGUGUAUGUGUGUGUGUAUAUAUAUAUAUAUAUAUAUAUAUAUAGUGUAUGUGUGUGUGUGUGUAUGUAUAUAUAUAUAUAUAUAUAUAUAUAUAUAUAUAUAUCAUCAUCAUCAUUUAACGUCUAUUUUCCAUGCUGGCAUAAGUUGGGCGGUUUGACUGAGGUUUGGAGAGCCAGCGGCUGCACCAGGCUCCAGUCUGAUCUGGCAAUGUUUCUACAGCUGGAUGCUCUUCCUAACACCAACCACUCCAAGUGUGUAGUGGGUGUUUUAUAUUUAUAUAGGUGUGUUUAUGUACUUUUGUCUUGACAUCAAGGUGAAAAAUGAGUAUCACUGUCAUACAAGCAGUCUUCUGUAAAAAAAUAUAUCUGGGCAUAUGAAAUAACCUCAUUGGGAACAGGUAAGGGUUCCCUACAGGAUGGGUCUCAACUCUAGAAGAUCUGCUUCAACAAAUUCAGCCUGGAAAAAUUAACAUCUGUUGAUUAUCUGACUGAAGUUGACUCCCUGGGUUUUUAGUUACCAACAUCAACACCAUUAGCGGGAGAUUUUCUUCAUGUAUUGCUUGUGUAUUUUCAGUUGACUGAAGCUUUCUACCUCACCAUAUUACAUUUGUGAGAUGCUUCUGUAAGAGUAUAUAUAUUAUGUAGAACACUCCCUGGAGGUAUGUUCCCACAAUAAUAUGUUGAUAUACAAUACAUAAAUAUAGCAUUCAAAAUUGGAAGCUUGAAGAAAGAGGCUCCAACAAAAGAGCUAAAAUUUACAUUAAAAAUGGAAAUGAUUGAAAUCUGUAAUGAAUAAAAGUUCUUAUAAGAAUACCCACAUGGAGGUAUUCUGAUUUUUCAAACUUACAACACCUGAUAUCAACAUGGAAUAAAAGGUGUGAAUUUGCUCAGAGAGAUACUAGCUUUUCCAUUGUUUUUCAGCUCUGUCUGUCUGUCUAUUUGGCUGUCUCUGUGUGUCUCUCUCUCUCUCUGCCCCUCCCUCUGCACUCCUCUCUCUCUCUCCUGCUCCCUCCCUCUGCACUCCUCUCUCUCCUACUCCCUCCCUCUGCACUCCUCUCUCUCCUGCCCCCUCUAUCUGCACUCUCUCUCUCCUUCCCCCUCUAUCUGCACUCUCUCUCCUGCCCCCUCCCUCUGCACUCCUCUCUCUCCUGCCCUCUCCAUCUGCACUCCUCUCUCUCCUGCUCCCUCUGCACUCCUCUCUCUCCUGCCCCUUCCAUCUGCACUCCUCUCUCUCCUGCUCCCUCCCUCUGCACUCCUCUCUCCUAUCUCCUCCCUCUGCACUCCUCUCGCCUUUGCUUCCUCCUAUUUUUUCUUUUCCCUUCACUCCUCACCUUUUGUUCUUUUCCUUUUUCUCACUAACUUCUAUUCUAUCUCACACCUGUCUGUCUGUCUCUCUCUCUCUUGCAUUCUUUUUUUUUUCUGCCUCUAUCUUCUGUUCUCAUUUCCUUUCCAUCUCUAUCAUCUACUCUCUUCUUCUUUCUGCCUCUACCUUUUACUCUCUUUUAUUUGUCUUUUUCUGUCUCUUUCUGUAUUUUUCUCUUUUUCUCUUUGUCCAUACCUUUUAUUCUCUCUUUUCUUUCCGUCUCUACAUUGUACUCUUUCUUGUUCAGUUAUCCUGACCUUCUAUUCUCUCACUCUCUUUCUUUCCGUCCCCACCUCUCUCUCUCUCUCUCAAAGGCAUCUUACUUAAUGAUAAUACUGCGAAUACCAUACACAGCGGCCAUCAUUCUAAAUGACAGCGCUAUACUAGACAGCCAAUCAAUCUAUGAGUGUCUUAUACAAUAAGACCAAAAUAGAGUCAUGCGCAUACAGCUUAUUAAAUCAGAAACAAAUUAUGUCAAAAUAGACGCAAAACAAAACAAGAAACACAACCAAAUGCAAAAAAAGACAUGGAAUUUUUGUGUAGGAUGAUGAUGAUUUAUUCAAAAUGUCUGAGAUUCCAGCUACUUGUUUUCGAGUUUCCAUCUUUUAAAGAAUUAUUUAAGUGUAAUAUCAUGUAGAAUUGUUUUAGUUGUUUCGCCCUGGGUCAGCUCUAGUAGAGCUGACAGCUAGACGUAUGAUUAAAGAAAGACAUUCCAUCCUUGCAAAACCAUACCAUCUUCUGUUCUGGGGUAAUGUUUCUCAGAUAAUCAUUAUCUAAUGUGUCCUAUUUUAAGAUGUUUCUGUGUGAAUAUGUAUGUGAAAGGCAUGUGGCUUUGUCGUUUCUAAAAUGCGCACUGACUUUCUCUUUGUAUCAUUAUUCUCUCAAUAGGCUUCAAACAGACUUUAACUACUUUAUCCAAGUGUGAUUUGAAGGAACUUUGGUUGCUAUUUCUAACGGAUGGAGUGACCAUGUGAUAGUUCCCUUAUUAGCCCAGUGCAGAAUUGUUGUUUAGGUCCACUCCUGAUCAGUAGAAUCAAAGACAUUAAAAAAUGACCAACUUAUUUCUUUUGUUGGACCUGUUUCGUUUAAGAUGUUUCUGUGUGAAUUCAUGAAAGCAAGUGGUGUGGGUGUUGGGUUUAUGAUUGUUUGGUCGUAGGUUCUAGUCCUGUGGCUGAGCAGUAUGUUGUGUAUUUUAGCAACAAACCUCGCUUCACAUUGCUUUAAUUUACUCACUCGAAAAUGUUUAUUAGCAGCAGUUGGUGGUGGUGUACAUGCAUGUGUGUGUGUGUAGCGAGGUUUAUUAAACAUGCUACAGACUGGCAUUCCAUUCAGUGAGAAGGGGAGUUUUGUACUCUCCGUUGCUUAAAUCAUCAUCAUCAUCAUUUAGUGUCCGCUUUCCAUGCUAGCAUGGGUUGGACGGUUCAACUGGGGUCUGGGAAGCCUGAAGGCUGCACCAGGCCCAGUCUGAUCUAGCAGUGUUUCUACGGCUGGAUGCUCUUCCUAACGCCAACCACUCCAUGAGUGUAGUGAGUGCUUUUUACGUGCCACCCGCACAGGUGCCAAACGGGGCUGGCAGACAGCCACGGACGGAUGGUGCUUUUUACGUGCCACCGGCACGGAGGCCAGUUGGGGCGGCGCUGGCAACUAAAUGCAGUGGAAAUUUGAAUAAACUCUGACAUAAUAGGCCUGUAGGCUUAAGACAGCAUUUAACUAGUGUGUUCUGAAGGAGUUUGGUUGUUAUAUCUAACAGCUGAAGUGACCAUGCAAUGGUUCCCUCACUAGCUUAAUGCAGAAUUGUUGUUUAGGCUCCUUAGUUAAACCUGAUUGAGCAAAUGUAUGCAGACAAUAACCAGCCCAUCAUUUUUAUAAUUUUUUUCAGCUGUACCUUGAAAAACAUUUAGUUUGUCCCUUUAUAAGAUGGUCAUUUGUGGUUUGAGAGAAAUUUUACUAUUUAUUGCAGUUUAGGGAGUCAUAUAGAGCAGAAGUGGGAAACCAUAUUUCAUCAGAAGCAAAUUACAAGUGUAUAAGAAUGUAAUAAGAUGCAUUUUUGUUGCAGAAAAUUAAGCAAUCUUUAAUUUUACAAAUUCAUGGUUAUGUCUUGUCACCAUCAUCACUUUUACAUUUGUUUAUUACACAGGUUGGCUUGGGAUAAACAAAAUUUCUUGAGGGAGUGUUCUAUAGUUGGAUGCUCUUCUUCAUGUGGUGCCAGUUUUCUUUAAUUAUUCCAAGUCUUUAGACAUUGAACUGUCAAGCUUCAGGAUUUUUGUUUACUCACAACAUCAUAAGCAGAAAGUGUAACCUCUCGAGAGAGCUGUUCUUCACUCCUGCUCCAGAGCAUCGGCUGCGGGGUCACUCCGAAAAGCUCUAUCUGCGACGAUUUCAUCUCAAUCGAAGGAGAGGGGCUUUCUCCGUCCGGGUUGUGGAUCCGUGGAAUAAGCUGCCGGUUGAGAUAGUGAAGAUGCCGACGACUGCUCGGUUCAAAGUCUCUCUUGACCAGAAAUGGCCUGAACUCUUUGCAUGAACACCACCCGGUACAUAGCUUAUUGUCCCCCUACAUGGCCUUCCUUUUUGCUUUUUGAGCCAAAAAAUUAACUUAACUUAACUUACCUUAACAAUGUAAUCACAGAUCAAGUGGUUGUUAAAGUAAAGACAAAGACACACGCAUGCAUGCAUGCACAUUUGCACACAUACGCGCACACACACACACACACACACACACACACACAUGGCUUCUGUACAGUUUCUGUCUAUCAAAACAUUGAAUAAUUCCUUCAUAUCAAGCUCUGUUGUUUUUAAAAGGGAACGCACUUUGGAUGCUAGUCAGAGACAGGAUGGUCACAGCAGGAUUGCUUUAAAACAUAGACCUGUUUAAUCAAGGCUAACCUGUCGCUAAACACCAUCAACAACAUCAUACAUAUCACUUCUUAUGCUUAGAUAUUCUAUGUCAUAUGAUAACAAAUGGUACCAUCUCACACAACAUUUAAACCAAAGAUAUUUAUUCAAGGUGUUUUACUCAUAUUUCUAUGCUAAAUGUAUGUGUGUGCGUGUAUAUAUACACAUACACACACACACAUAUCUAAUUCACAUUUAUUUACAUCAUUUGUAAAUACUGUCAUUUCAACACAUGGUAUUAAUUUUAUUGCGAUGUUCAGUCUUUACUCUGUUACACUAUUUGCUGUACGUUAGUGAUGAAUAGAAAUACGAUAUUGUUGCAUAGCACUGUAUAAGAUUACUCUACUUAUGCACUAAGAUCUAAAGUUGUUGGAAAAUUAUAAAUCAUGUCUAAUUAAGGUAUAUUUAUUUAUAAAAGGUCAGAAACUACAAAAAAAAAAGAUAAAAAAAUUAAAAUAUCCUCUUUUCUCCACCCUCCUUAUAACACCCGUCUUCAAGAUAAGGUUACUUAGAGGAAAUCAGUACUGUUUGGGGUAGAAAGCCAUUUAUUACAAUUGCAUUAACCUUCAUAUUUACACUUUUAUUCAUUCUACAAUUUCAGUGACUUCUAUUUCUGUGUCUAAGUCUAAAUCUGAAAAGCAG